rnacentral:lncRNA from 1 species
UGGGUGGCUUCACUGGUGGUGGAUAAGUGGUGGGUGGCUUGAGUGGUGGUGCCGGCGUAACUGUUGGUGGCUUCACUGGUGGGGACUUCACUGGUGGUGCUGGUGGGGGAGUGGUUGUGGGUGGCUUCACUGGUGGUGGAUAAGUGGUGGGUGGCUUCACUACUGGUGGUGGAGUGAAUGGCUUAACUGGAGCCUUAGAAGGAGCUGGUGCAGGUACUGGGGUUUUGGGGUAAGUAGUAUCCUGUACCAAAUUGCAAAGAACCAAAUGUUUACCAUCUUUGUAUACAAUAAUAAAACCCAACUAUCGCAAGUAAAACCUUAAUGCCGGGAAAACACGUUAGCUACGAGUAAAAAUGCAAGCAAUCUCAAACAUAGCUGAUAUCAAAGAUCAUAUUUACUGCUAAAGAUCAAGCAUAAAAUAAACUGAAAUUUCAAAAAAUAGUGUCUAGGAGUUUUGCCUGAAUCUAAAUAUAAACAAAAAAUAUUUUAAAGAAACCAUUUUGUACUACAAAGCAUGUUGUGCCAGAGAUUCAAUUUUUGUGUACAAAAACUGAACAGUCUAAACUAUUUUCAUUUUGUUUGUCCCACAAUAAUAAAAUACCUUUUCUAGCAGAUAUUCCUCCUCAUUGUUGGAUAAAACCUACAAAAAGAAAAUAUUAAAACAUAAACCCAGAGAGAAGUUUGAGUACUUAACUGUAUGUACAAAUGUUAAGAGAAGGGACAGGGAGCCUUACACUUGUAGAGACUAAAAGCAAAGUGGCCAACAGAAGCAGAGCAGCUCUGAAAGCCAUUGGAAGACAGAACCCAGCCUAAAGGAACCAAGAAGAAAGUUUGAGAAGCUAGCUAGUCCCUGGUUGGUGCCCAAGUAUUCCAAGCAGGCGCAGCUUGUCCUUAUAUACAGAGGUGAGGAGGUGAAAAUGUGAUUUUUUUAAUUUCCCAGUUGGUAGUAUUGGUUCAAUAAAUGUACAAUGCCAGCUUCCACCAGAUCACUGAGACCAUCACUUAUGGCUAGCAGGUCGAGGCCUGAGACUUUUGUCUGCUAAAUUAGUAAUAUCUAUUAUUCUAUUACUAGUACUCGUAACAUGAUAUUAAUAUUUUUAUUAACGGGCACCCUAGGCCUGUGUCUUUCAAUACUUGGACAGGCUAUAUCCUUUUUCUUUUUCUUUUUUCCGUGAGCAAUAGUCUCGUGGUAUUUACAUUCUCAUAAUUAUUAAGAGUAGUUUAUAUCAAAUUUUAUAUAAUAUUAUAAAUUUUAAUUUUUUUUAAUAUUCAAAAGAUGGUACUGUUUAAAUUUUAAUUUUUUUUAAUAUUCAAGAGACGUCACUGAUUGAUUUCACUCGAAUUUUAAAAAAUAAGAUUUAAAUUAAGGAUUCCUCUAAGUUACAUGCAUAUACUUUAUAAUCAUCUCAUAUGAAUAAUAAAUAAAUAUUAUUUAUGUGAGAGAGUUGUAAGAUACAUUCAUGUAACUUAGCAUUAAUCUUAAAUUAAACAUCCACAAUAUAUUUGUGGAGAUUAAGAAAAAAUGACCCUAAUCAUUGGAAAAAACUCUAAUGAUUAGACAGACUGUAUCUUUGUUCCAUAAAUUUAUUGUGUUAUAGAUGAUAUUGGCUAGGCCAGUCAAAAAAGUCAUGGUAGGGUAUUUUAAAAAAGGAUCUCCCCAAGUUUGGAUUUGCUUUUAACUAAUUCAGAUGGUUAUUAUUCUUUCAUAAAUUUAACUUCAUCAGUUAAUUGUGCAGCUAUAAAACGUAACUUAGCACUUACCCUUUUUAAAAAAUACGUUCAAUUGGGUUAGUGCAAAGACUAGACUUAUGCUGAAAGAAAUUUCUUAAAUAAAAAUAGAUUUCUAUUAAAUUUGAACAUAAAAAUAGUCUAGAAUGAACUGAGACAUCUUAAAUAUGACUUAAAAUGAGUCCAAAAAGUGAUGUAUUUUCACCACCUUUUUUUUUUAUCACCAUUGUGUUUCACAUCAAUUUUCAACCAAAAAAAAAUUAAAAAAAUUGGAACGAUAAUUUGAAAAAUAUAACAAAAAGUUUUGGUUUAAUAUCAUAUCCUUAACAUUUGUAAUACACAUGGGUCUCACUCAGUUUGUAUCAUUUGCAUUGACCAGCAAGAGAACUCAAAAUGAAUCAAAGACCGAGGGCAUGUGGCUUGUAUCCCCAUUAUUGAUAAAACCAAAACAUCAUGAUUUGUGAGGUAAUUUUGUGUCACUCUGUUACAAUAGAAGUAAAAUUCCCUUGAAUAGUUUCAUAGGGGAUACCUGAUCUUAUGUACAAUCAUACGAUUUAUUUAGAUGUAGCUUGAACCUGACCAAUGCCAACUGUCUGGGAAGCUUACCUGCUAUGUUAAUUACAAAUAAAGAGUACAGUAUUUGGGUUCCUUUGACAACACAUUUUGAUUCAGCUUAAUCAGAAGCGUUUUAAAAUGAUACAAGCCUGCAGAAGCCAGAAAGACUAGCAUUGCUACAACUGGCUUUGAGUGCUCAGUCGUCAAUAGUCAGUACCCGCCCGGCAUCUUUAAAUAUUCAGCGGUGGCAGUGGGAUAUCUGCCUGUUAUAUACAUGUGAUGUCACAUGCUACUAACACUAGUCAAAAUCAUUAGAGAGUAAGUUCAUUUAAAUAAUUUUUAAGUUAAAGAUGACCUCGUGUACUAGAUGCUGCAAUAGAUACACAUGAACUGCUGCAUUUCAAUAACAUCAGUUGAAGAUCCCAAUAACAUUACCCCCAGGCCCAGGCCCCAGCUCCAAACCCAAAGAGAUAGAUCAUCCAAAUGGUUGAAGUUUUACCCCAUAUUCAAACUUCAGAUAAAAGACAAGCUGCACAUCUUACAAAUUACACCAAGGGUUCUCGAAAACUAUCCAGAUUUAUCUGAUUUUUCUUUUUCAGGACAGCUGAGAGAUAUUGAUUCUUUUUCUUCAAUGCUGGGAAACAGACAAUUGCAUUGCAACAAGGAAUUGUACUGUGCCCUGCCCCUUCGGUUGGAUGUAAAAGGAAUCCUAUUGCUCUCUUUAGACAAAAGUGUCUGUCAUCUCAAUCUUUCUCUCGAGAUUUGAGUCUUUUUAAACAUCAGCAGUUUGCAACCCCAAAUGUGUAAAUUUGAAACAAAAAAAUCUAUGAAAUCUCAGUUGGCCGUGGGCCCUCAGCCUGAUGCUUUGCAUGUGAAUGCAUAUUUGGUGACAGGUCAAGAAAAGUAUCACCAACUUUGAAUGUUUGGAUGCAUGUUUUGGUUUAUAAUAUCAAUUUCAUGCCGGUGUAUUCUCUUAUACAGAACAUACGUACAAGAGUUAGAUCCAAAUUCUUUACUGACCAGAAACAAAGCUACAAGAGAAACCAAAAUUCAACUUUUUAAGAUAAUCUUUGAAGAUAAACCAAAUUAGGGUUAUUUCCACUUAACCCCCAAAUCUUUCAACAUUUUCCACUUCGCACCCAAAUUUUUCGACAUUUUCCACCGCACAUCCAAUUCCGUUAAUUUGACCGUUAUUUUUAACGGAGCUAUUUGAAAGUUAAUGAAAUGUAUGAAAUACCCCUUAUCUUAAAUUAGAAAAGAAUUAAAUGAGAUAAAAUGUUAAUCCAAUAAUUAAUAUUUACAUUAAAAAUUCUUAAUUAAAAGUAAUUAAUAAAUAACUCCAUCAAUUAAUUUAUCAAAUAAAUUUAAUUUAUCAUUAUUAAAUAAUAUUUAGGGCAUGAACUUCUAAAUUUGCCCUUUGACCGUUAGAAUUAAUGGUCAAAUUAACGGAUUUGGGUGUGGAUUGAGCAUUAUUGAAACAUUUAGGUGCACGGUGGAAUAUGUUAAAACAUUUGGGGGCAGGACGGAAUUAACCCCAAAUUAAAAUACUUUUGAACAAAAAAAAAAAUCACUUUGGAGCUUUCCUAGUACGGGAAAUGAAACCUUAUUUUGAAGCACAACAAAAAAUUUGGAAAUAUAAAACAUAAACAUGCUUUUCAUCUCCAUCUUAACAGCGUUACUGAGUGUAUUGUAAAUUCUAGAGACUGUCUGCAAUAAGAAAUAAAUCAAUAAUAUGUCAACACCUGAGUAUGCGACCAGCUUAGGCCCACUCAUUUAAUUGAUAAUGAGACCACCGAGUACUACAAAUUUAAGAGUGGAAUUAUUGGCACUCCUCAAAAUACCUCUUAAAACUUCUCUAGUUAUUUUAUAAUUUUAACCUUUAUUAAAAUUACAUAAUAAGACAAUCAUGAAUUUUACAAUUUUAAAUAACUCUUAACACCCUUUUUUUGUUUUUAUUUUAUUUUUUUAACAUUUUCGAGUUUACUCCAACUGCAAACUAAUUUAUGAAUUAUGAUAUACAUAUUAUAAAUUUAAGUAAUGCUACAAGUGACUGUAAAUAUUAAAAUAUCAGCAAAAAAAUAAAAAAUAACUUGAUUAAGAGAUAAAAUGAAUAGUAUCUGAAAUUGAAAUUCAGCAUUUUAAAAAUUAAGAAAGUUACUUUUUUAUCUUAUUUUCUGGUGAGGAAUUAUCGGCAUCAGCAACGCAUUAUCAAUAAGCUUCAAAGAAGAAACCAAGAUCCACGAGGGAAAUUAAGAAAGAAGACGGUAAUUAUGAAGCAAAGGACGAGCUGAACGAUCAUCAGAAUUAUUUUUCCACCGACAUAUUUUCCAGUGCCUCAAUUGUCUUUCUCCACAAAGGCACACAGUCUUUCGAAGAAUCUGUAAUUCUGCAUUUUCAGAAGCUUGUGCUCAACAUUUUUAUCAGUAAACCAAAUUAGCACUUGGCCUUAGAAUUACAAGCAUGGUAGCCAAGUGUUUGCGAGGUGUCAUUAUCAAUUACAAUGAGUUGUCAUGCAUUAAAGUGCUGACCAUGUGGUGUUUCAAUGAUUUGCCACAAUAAGGUAGAAGUUUCGUGGAGUAAGUUCCCUUUUUCCUUUUUUUUCUUUUUUUCCUUCUCUAUCUUUCUUUUUCAAUAGAUGAUUAAUUGUCUCAAAAUCCACAAUUAAGGCCUUUGAUUACGGUUUCGUUUUGUCCGACGGGACCAGCCGGGCGGGGGCAUCGGGAUGGGGGGUAGCCGCCCGGCGGUUUGAACGCCGAAAAUUGGGUAAGAUCGGGGCCGUUUUUGCCGGUUUUGCGGUUUGGGCCCUCCGGGAGGGACCGUGGGGCGGGAUCGGCACACGGGGGACGAUUUCGGACGGGUUCAGGCGGGUGUGGUCCGGGGCGGGGUGGGGCGGGGGCUAUAGCACACGGCCUCGGGGGCCGCAAAGUAAAAUGGACCGUUUUUGCAGGUUUUGCCGGUUUUGGCCGUAACUCAUGAUAGGGCCUCCGAUUGCGGUUCCGUUUCGUCCGACGGGACCAGCCGGGGGGGCAGCGGGAUGGGGGGUAGCCGCCCGGCUGUUUGAAAGCCGAAAAAUGGGUAAGAUCGGGGCCGUUUUUGCCGGUUUUGCGGUUUGGGCCCCCCGGGGGGCGGUUCAUGCUCCAGGGGGGACCACGUGGCGGGAUCAGCACACGGGGGACGAUUUCAGUCGGGUUCGGGCGGGUGCGGCCCGGGGCGGGGCGGGGGCUAUAGCACACGGCCUCGGGGGCCGAAAAAUAAAAUGGGCCGUUUUUGCAGGUUUUGACGGUUUCGGCUGUAACUCAUGAUCGGGGCCUCCAAUCGCAGUUCCGUUUCGUCUGAUGGGACCAGCCGGGCGGGGGCAUCGGGAUGGGUGGGUAGCCGCCCGGCGGUUUGAACGCCGAAAAAUGGGUAAGAUCGGGGCCGUUUUUAUCGAUUUUGCGGUUUGGGCCCCCCAGGGGGCGGUUCAUUCCCCGGGGGGGACCGCGGGGCAGGAUCGGCACACGGGGGACGAUUUCAAUCGGGUUCGGGCGGGUGCGAUCCGGGGCGGGGUGGGGGCUAUUAUAGCACACGGCUUCGGGGCCGCAAAGUAAAAUGGUCCGUUUUUGUCAGUUUCGGCCGUAACUCAUGAUCGGGGCCUCCGAUUGCGGUUCCGUUUCGUCCGACGGGACCACCCGGCCGGGGGCAUCGGGAUGGGGGGGUAGCCACCCUGCCAUUUGAACGCCGAAAAAUGGGUAAGAUCGGGGCCGUUUUUGCCGGUUUUAAGGUUUGGGCCCCCGGGGGGGACCGCGGGGCGGGAUCGGUACACGGGGGACGAUUUCGGUCGGGUUCGGGCAGGUGCGGGCCGGAGCGAGGCGGGGUGGGGGCUAUAGCACACGGCCUCGGGGGCCGCAAAGUAAAAUGGGCCGUUUUUGCCUGUUUCUGCCGUAACUCACGAUCGGGGCCUCCGAUUGCGGUUUCGUUUCGUCCCACAGGACCAGCCGAACGGGAGCAUCGGGAUGGGUGGGUAGUUGCCUGGUGGUUUGAACGCCGAAAAAUGGGUAAGAUCGGGGCCGUUUUUGCCGGUUUUGCGGUUUGGGCCCCCCGGGGGGGACCGCGGGACUGGAUCGGCACACGGGGGACGAUUUCGGUCGGGUUCGGUAGGGUGCGGUCCGGGGUGGGCCGGAGGCUAUAGCACACGGCCUUGGGGGCCGCAAAGUAAAAUGGGUCGUUUUUGCUGGUUUUGCCUUUUUCGGCCGCAACUCACGAUCGGGACCUCCAAUUACGGUUCCGUGUAGUCCGACGGGACCAGUCGGGCGGGGCCAUCGGGAUGGGGGGGUAGCCGACCGACGGUUUGAACGCCGAAAAAUGGGUAAGAUCGGGGCCGUUUUUGCAAGAUUUGCGGUUUGGGCCCCCGGGGGGCGAUUCAUGCCCCGAGGGGGACCGCGGGGCGGGAUUGGCACACGGGAGACGAUUUCGGUCGGGUUCGGGCGGGUGCGGUCUGGGGCGGGGCGGGGGCUAUAGCACACGGCCUCGGGGGCCGCAAAGUAAAAUGGCCCAUUUUUGCCGGUUCGGCCGUAACUCAUGAUCGGGGCCUCCGAUGGCGGUUCCGUUUCAUCCGACGGGACCAUCCGGCCGGGGUCAUCGGGAUGGGGGGUAGCCGCUCGGCGGUUUGAACGCCGAAAAAUGGGUAAGAUCGGGGCUGUUUUUGCCGGUUUUGCGGUUUGGGCCCCCCGGGGGGGACAGCGGGGCGGGAUCGGCACACGGGGGACGAUUUCGGUCGGGUUCGGGCGGGUGCGGUCCGGGUCGGGGCGGGGGCUAUAGCACACGGCCUCGGGGGCCGCAAAGUAAAAUGGGACGUUUUUGCCAGUUUUGCUUGUUCAUGAUCGGGGCCUCCGAUUGCGGUUCCGUUUCGUCCGACGGGACCAGCCGGGCGGGGCUAUCGGUAUGGGGGGGUUGUCGCCCGGCGGUACUAACGCCGAAAAAUGGGUAUGAUCGAGGCCGUUUUUGCCGGUUUUAUGGUUUGGGCCCCCCGGUGGGCGGUUCAUGCCCCGGGGAGGACCGCGGGGCGGGAUCGGCACACGGGGGACGAUUUCGGUCGGGUUCGGGCGGGUGCGGUCUGGGCGGGGCGGGGGCUAUAGCACACGGCCUCGGGGGCCGCAAAGUAAAAUGGGUUGUUUUUGCCGGUUUUGCCGGUUUCGACCGUAAGUCAUGAUCGAGGCCUUCGAUUGCAGUUCCGUUUCCUCCGAUGAGACAAGCCGGGCGGGGACAUCGGGAUGGGGGGGUAGCCGCCUGGCGGUACUAACGCCGAAAAAUGGGUAAGAUCGGGGCCGUUUUUGCUGGUUUUGCAGUUUGGGCCCCACGGUGGGCGGUUCAUGCCCCGGGGGGGACCGCGGGGCGGGAUCGGCCCACGGGGGAUGAUUUCGGUCGGGUUCAGGCGAGUGCGGUCCGGGGCGGGGCGGGGGCUAUUAUUGCACACGGCCUCGGGGGACGCAAAGUUAAAUGGGCCGUUUUUGCCGGUUUUGCCGGUUUCGGCCGUAACUCAUGAUUGGGGCCUCCGAUUGCGGUUCCGUUUCAUCCAACGGGACCAGUCAGGCGGGGGCAUCGGGAAGGAGGGGUAGCCGCCCGGCGGUUUGAACACCGAAAAAUGGGUAAGAUCGUGGUUGUUUUUGCCGAUUUUGCGGUUUGGGCCCCCCGGGGGGCGGUUCAUGCCCUGGGGGGGGACUGCGGGGUGGGAUCGGCGCACGGGGUACGAUUUCGGUCGAGUUCGGGCGGGUGCGGUUCGGGGCGGGGCCGGGGCUAUAGCACACAGCCUCGGGUGCCGCAAAGUAAAAUGGACUGUUUUUGCCGAUUUUGCCGGUUUCGGCCGUAACUCAUGAUCGGGGCCUCCGAUUGCGGUUCCGUUUCGUCUGACAGUACCAGCCGGGCGGGUCAAAAAUUAAAUAGGGGGUUUAUAUUAAUAAAUUUAAAUUAAGGAUAUUUUUGUCAUCAAAAAGGUGUUAAAAUUUUUUUAUAAUAUUUCUAAAUAUUUUAAUGGGGUUAAUAAAGAAAAAAUGUGUUGAAAGAUAUUUAUAGGGGUGCCAAUAGUCUCACUCCAAAUUUAAUGGUCUGGUACAAGCCCAUGAACCAGAAUUAAUGAAAAACAAAUUUUAAUGGCCAAAUUUAGUGGAACCUUCGAGUUUCAGGGUUUCAUGGCCAUGGUUGGUGGCUCACCCCUCUACUUUGGUAAUGAGAGAUUGAGAGCAGACAUUGCCCAUUCUGGAUUAGCUUACUAAGUAUGGGCGGAGACCAAGCCAAUACUAAGUGAAAUCUGCAAAGCAACUCAAAACAAUGUAAAUAUCAACAGAUGAAAGAAUGGACGUGGCGGUGGAAUGUCAAGAACAAAGGCCUAGACGUCAUCAUAAUGUCAAUGAUGAGGGACUUCUAAUGAAAUACUACAAUUUCAUUGAUGCAACCAUCCACCAAAAAAAUUACAGCAAGUGAAAUUCAGUUUCCCUCAAGCAGAUGCCCAACUAAAACGGGGAUUCCGAGGAAAACGAAUGUAAAAGAUACUCAUUUCAACUUUUUCCCCCCUUUCUCCUCCUUGAACAUCAAAACUAAAUAAACAUACAAUAUCUAAACAAGAACUUCCUCUUCAUCAUCAAAACUCAAGUUCAACGUUUGUAACUUGAAGCCUGAACCCUGUAUGAUCUCAACCAGAUUCGCUGCCACUCCUGUAGCUUGCACUGUUGUCUGUUUCUUUAGCUGAACCAAGAGAACAGAACGGUCAGUAUGCACAUUGUAGGCAGAUCACCAUGGUCACGGAAGGUGAACUGCAGUAUCACAAAUAUGUCAUAUCCUGUUAUGAACUACAAAAAAACUCAAACGCACCUCAACAGUGGCAAUACCCUCAAUUACUUGAACCUUUAGAUCAGAGAUUCCUUCAGUUCCCUGCAAAACAACACAACUAAGCAACCUCCAAGUCCACAAAAUAAAAUAUGAGUCUAUGUGAGACAAUACUGAGCUUUAACCAUAACAAUUUUCUCACAAAAGUGAAGGUGCUAACAAGAAUAUCCUAGCAAGAUAUAGUAAUUCUAGAACAUACAAGCUGACCAGAUAACAUAGAUUCCCUCCACUUAUUCAUUAGAGUAGGAAUUUAGAUUUAGUGAAAAUAUGGGACAAAUAUCUUUCACUUGUUAAAAAUAUUCAAAAUUCAUAGAUAAUCUCUACUAUAGUUCCUUACAAAGGAUUUUGGUUGACCCCAAUGUUUCAUCCUUUAAACAUUUGGCACCAGCACAUUUCUAAUUUUUUUUUUAAAGCUUUAACUGAAUUACACUGUCAGGUAUUUGGAUCAAACUCUAACAGUUAUCUGCUCUCAAAAGAAGAAGAAAAGAAUGAAGAACUUCUACCAAUGAUCCACAUUCAACCAUUUCAUACUAACUGAAAACCAAAUACUAGACAGGAAUUUCAGUUUAGUCUGACAGCAAGAUGGGUUACUUGUUAGUCUCAGUUAUGCAUUAGAUUAUUGCUUUACAAUUUGUUCAAUUAAUAAAACUUAAGUUAGCCCGAAGUUCUUUAUUACAUCUCUCUGCAUAAAAGCUCAUUCAGCAGUAUCAAAAUAGACUUCAAAAAGUUAAUAAGAACAGCGCAGUUGCUACAAGAUAAUAGAUUCAUCUUACAUCCUAAAGUAACGUUGAUCUACCUGUAAGGCCUGAGUGACAGCAGGAAUAGCUGUCUCAUUCAUUGCUCCAUCAGCCUUCAUACAAAAAACAACCAAGCAUAAGAAAUCUAUUAAACAAAAGAUAAACACAAACCAAAAGGAAAACAAGCCGACAUAACAAUAUCAGGGCACCUUCAAAACCACAUUUGUCAACAAGAAAAUUCAAACAUGUAAGAAAAGUUCAGGCAUAUCAAUCAAUAAACUUUAACUUACACAAUUAUUAAGUUUGGGCCGCAGGGCAAAGAAAAACCUCAAUAAGCAUGACAAUUAUUUAGUCAAAAGCAUCAAUAACCUUACGAUAUUGCAACAUUACAGCGAAUAUAAGUUUAAAGAUUUUCAUUUUGUUAUAGCAGGGGAAAUACUUCACUUUAAAAUGGAUUAAAACGAAAAAAAAAAUUGGAAUAAUUUCAGUAUUAGUAAUCAAACUCCCAUAACAAGAAGAUAAGAUGUUAUUAACAAAAAUUUCGGGCACAUAAUUAUAAUCAUAAUUUGCAAGAAAACAAAAAACAAAAACACCCAACAUAAGUACCUGGAAGUACAUAGUGAGCUUGUCUGAAGGAGAGACAGGAACUGCAACAGGCUGCUGCUCAUCAGCUGCCACUGUUUCUUCUACUGCUUCCGGUUCUUGUUCUGUUAUCAAAGUUUCCUCUUCACUUGACCUCAAUACUCUCAUUCCAUUAAAACCCCACUUCUGCUUCUUGUUUUUCAAUGCCAGUUUGAUCUGAAAAUUGAACGUUCUAAUGGGAAUAGUUAAAGAACAAGAGGGCAUUACUUUGCUAGUGUGAAGCUUUGUUCUGUAAGUUGAAUAAAGUGUUGAAGAUAGUGAAACUGUAGCCAUUUUGUGGCAGUGUUUUCUUUGGGGCCUCUUUUGUUGUGAGUUUUGAGGGUUGAGAGUUGAGACUCUCCCUUUUAACUUAUCAACUGAACAGAAGGCGCUUUGAUGAUAUACUUCUAUUCUAUCCGAUAUCGGCGGCAGAGAGAGAGAGAGAGAGAUUGUUUAGUGUGUGGUUAUUCAUACAUCUCUUAAGUUUUGAUACAGUUGAGAGCCCUCGAUUUCUGCUGCUUUUCUUCUUGUGGACCAUUUUUGUGCAGGUCAACAUAGUCAACGUCUCACAUUGUUUUGAUGAAAAUCAUAGGGAAAUUUAUUUUUCUAAGAGCAAAAAUGUUUUUUUUCAUCCUUUUUUAAUAGGGAAAUUUCAAUUUUAUGUACCAUUCAUUUUUUUUUCCCUUUUUUGGGUAGUCCAGUACCAUAUAUAAAAUACGAAACAUAUUUACUAGUUCGUAAGGGAUAGGAUAAUCAACUUCAAAGUAAAUAAAAGUUGUUCAAAAGCGCUACAAGUCAUUGGAGCUAAUGGCUAAGAUGCACAACAGACUAAACAUCUUGAGGCCAAUGGGUCCAUUUGGAGAUCAUCGCUUACACAUAAAAGACCAGAGCAACAAAAUAGUUAGAAAAUUACAAGCCCAGACAGAAGUUUGCUCCCAAAAUUGCUUUAUAUAAAUCCUGCCAUUUCAUUCAACUGCUGAAUUUGAAGAGGGGCUGCCGGUAAUCAAUCAUCAAUAGAGAAGCAACUCCAAUGCCUUCGAUAUUUAACAUGCUUAUGUACUUCGUUUACUUCACCUGCUUAGGAACAAAAACAAUGGUGUCAGUUAUGGAAAGUGCAACUAGCCUAGCAAUAAUAUUUUUGUCAAAGAAAAUAAAAUAUUACCCUGCCUUUUAGCAUUUUGAGGCUAUUUUGUAAAACUAGAACACUCUGCUUCGACUUGCCCAUCUGCACAGGCAUUCGGCAAAUCCAAUAAGCUUUGGCAAAGAUGAGAAAUAUAUAGCAAACCUCGAGUUGCCAUGAAAAUUGAUAAACUUUAAUAGAGCUAGAAAGCUCUCACCCUUAAGAUAAAUACCCAUGUUGGCUUGAGCAUCAGCUUCAGAGUUCAAAUUCUUCAAAGUGAGCAAAAAGAAAUCAGUCAUUUGCAAACAGGAAAACAGCACGGUUAACCAAUAAGAGUAAUCACAAAUAGAGAAGAGUGCUUUAAAGCAUAAGAGUUAAUUAUCAGCGUACCCUCAAAAUAUGAUUGAUCUGGAAUGAUUGAAACUUCUCUUUGAGCUCCUUUGCUUCUUUGCACAAGCCAGCCAAAUUCUGGUUAUUUAUCUUCCAUAAUCCUUGAAUCUGUUUCAUGGGGAAUUCCCAUGGUAAAUUAACAUCUAAUUACCAAUUUACCCCCCCCAAAAAAAAGGCUUUGAUGAACACUUGAUACCUUGUAUUUAACUACUAGGAGAUAUCUCAAGCAAACGUUCUUCCAUGUUGCACUUAUGAAGACAGAUUUAAAGAUGGAAUAGAAAAUGCAAAACAAACCUGCAUACAGACAAGCUUAGAGUCUCCUUGGACACGAAUAUGUUUAUAUCCUUUCUGAAGAGCAUACUUCAAUCCUAAAAUUAAAGCUCGAUAUUCGGCAACAUUAUUCGUUGCAAUGCCCACUCCUUCCCGAAGUCGGUAGACCUGAAAACUCAGGACCAAAAAGAUCUACUUUAGUAGAGGAUGUAGCAAACUAGAAGCCUAACAUAUAACCAUAGCAACAAUAUACCACAUUGCCGUCUUCAGCACGCAAAACUGCUCCUGCACCAGCUUGUCCAGGAUUUCCUUUUGAGGCACCGUCAAACUCAAGAGUACAUGAGUACUGGGCAUAGACAUUGAAUAGCAUUAAGGUACAAAAUAAAAAUGACACCAUAAUUUUAGUUUGAACAAUCAGACAUCAACACAGAAUUAACAAGGCAAUUUUAUCUAAAUUAGUUUUUCCAAGGUGUUGUCAACUCCUAUAGAAAGAAGAUUCUAAAUCUAAUCCCUACGAGCCAAAUAUAAUAACUGUAGAUGUAGAUAUAGAAUCAUCAUCAUGCACCAUAUAGAUACUCACACAAUUAUAAGGAACUGAUUGGGUGUUCAAACAGCUAUCUGCAUUUAAGUGACUUCUUUGAGUAUUAAUGGAGAAUGAAGUUGAUCCAGCUGCUGCCACCUGCAGUUAAAAAAAAAAAGAGAGAGAGAGACUUUUAAGUAAUGAUUCUUGGCACAGCAAAAUCAAGUCCAAAAAUUAGAUGUUCAGAUCCAAGUAUCUAACAAAUUUAUUGAUAAAUACCUAUUAUAUUGCCAACUCCUAUUAAAAAAAAAAAUUGAAAUCUAAUUAAAAGACCCUUGACCAGCCAAAAUAUAAUAAAUAUAGAUGUAGAUACAGAAUUAUCAUCACACAACACAUAGAUAAUGAUAUAGAAUCAGAGCAGUAACUCACAUAAUUCUCAGGAACUGAUUGAGUGUUCCAACAGUUAUCUUCAUUAAAGUGCCUUUUUUGAGUGUUAAUGGAGAUUGAAGUUGAUCCAGCUGCUGCCACCUGCAGGGAAAAAAGACAUGUUAAGUUAUGAUUCUUCCCACAGCAAAAUCAAGUCCAAAAAUAGAUGUUCAGAUCCAAGUGUCUUAACAAAUUUAUUGAUAAGUACUUAUUAUACAUCAUCAUCUAUGACUCUAUGUUUAAAAAUAAAAGAACACACAAUAGGGAGUACCUCAUGCAACAUCUUUGGAAGAGAGACCUCGUCAGAUACUUUUUCUCCAGAGGAAGCAGGUUCCUGAGAAAAGGAAAAUCACCAAAAUAUGUCAAUUAUUGAAAAUAAAAACACACGUGCAUAAGUCAUAGUAAAUGUUUACACAUAAGACACAAAAUGUGCUUCAGUUCAAUAUCUGGCAGGAAAAAAAGUAAGAAGAUGAUAAACACUUUUAAAAUGUCAGACGGUACGCAAAAGUUCAAGCCAAGAAAAUGGAUCAUCAAGCAUAGAACAAUUUACCUGAAGCGGGCAAGGAACAAUUUUCCCGAAAAGGCCACUCUUAACAUCACUUGCAGAAACAGAAUAGCUAGAACUCUUCAGCCCAUGUGAGGCCAGGUACUCCUCGGCCUCCUUAGAUAAACCAUAACCCUUAUACACAGUUAAGGAAGGGUCACGAACCUACGAAUAAAUGAAACCUCAUUAAUUCCAUGAGUAAAUGAUGAAGGCAUGACAUAUUCUUAGCUAAAUUCACACAACAAAAAAGAAUCUACAGAUACUUUUGCAACAAGAAGGUACUAUAGCGCUUUGUUAGAAUUGAAAGAAACAGAGAAUGACCAAAAUGAUCCACAUUUCCUAGGGCUUAACAAGGUUUGAACUUAAAUGAGAGUCUUUCAAAAACAAGGAGAGCAAGGCAUGACUAGCUAUAUGACCUUAUAUUUCAUAGAAACACAAACAUAAUCAAACCUUGGCACUCUAAUCACAAAGUCACAUAAUGAGAAAAUGUAGCUUAACACAAAAACAGCAUCCAUGUUCACCACAAUACAAAAGCACAGUCAAAUAUAGUAGCAGGAACGUUCCCUUACAGUCAGGGAUUACUCUCAUAGAUGUUCAAGAACUUCAAAACAAAAAGCGGUUAAUUUUCGAACAAAGCAGAGCAGAUCAGAGAAACAAUCAUAUGGGUACUUGAAAUACGAUUCAUAAUAUUAAAAACGAUAAAAAUUAAUAUACACGUAGCAGCAGAAAACAACUAUAUAAAAUAAAUAGUGAAAAAAUAAUUACAGAAAAUCCAGCUUGGAGUUGGCAAUCGCUUAGAGUCUUGUAAAUGCCAACAACAUCUCCCUUUCUAACAACAUAAAAUGCAUCUUUCUCGUCCUCCAUUGAUGAUCCAAAUGGGUAACAAACAAGAAACGAAACAACAAAGCGAAAAAGCUUUAGAAGAUUAGGCAAAAAACCAACGACUGUUUAACUACUCAAAGUGGUAACUUUGUGGGUGUGUUUACUCGAGGGUGCAGGAGAAUGAGAAUAAAAAUUGGGAAUGGAAUUUAUAUUUAUUUGAUAAAUAUAAUUUAUAAAUGGAAAUAAAAUAUGUGACUCUUAUAUAAUUUGAGAAUAAGGAAUAAAAAUCUCAUUAACAUGGGGGUUGGGAAAAAAAUAAAUGAAUGAGAAUAAAAUAUGAGUUUAUUUUUAUAUCCUUAUAAUUUUUUUAUAUUUUCUUAAUUAUCCACGUUCAAAUCACAAUUAAUUUUUAUUAUUUUAAAUAUUUUUAUUAUUAUUAAAUUUUAUUAAUUUUAUUACUUUACUUAUUAUUAUUAUUAUUAUUAUUAUUAUUAUUAUCAUUAUUAACAAUUAUUAUUAUUAUUAUCAAAAUUUAUUAAUUUUAUUAUUUUAAAUGUCAUUAUUAUUAUUAAAUUUAUUAUUUUAGUUAUUAUUAAUUAUUGUUAUUAUUAUUUUUAUUAAUAUUAUCAUUAUUAAUAAUUUUAUUAUUAUUAUUAUCAAAAUUUAUUAUUUUAAAUGUCAUUAUUAUUAUUAAUUUUAUUUUUUUAAUUAAUAGUAUUUUUAUAAUAAUAUUUAUACAUGUAUCUAGUUAAUGAAAAUUAUAUUAUUUAAUAUUAUGGGUAUUUUGAUAAAUUGAUUCACAUUUUCAUUCUUCAUUCCCAUUUAUUUUGUCAAAUAAACACAUCAAUGAUAUUCCAGCACAUUCUCAUUUAUUUUUGUCAAGUAAACAUUAAAAUCUCAUUCACAUUCCAAUACAUUCUUAUUCUCAAUCCAUUUUCAUUUCCAGCUCAUUCUCAUUCUAUUAGUAAACGCACUAAUGUAUUCUUGUUGCAAGUAAAUGAGAUUUAAACAGAAAUAGAAAAGAUUGAAGCUGUUUCGAUGUCUCACUGUAGUCUUGUUUUAUCAACUAUCUCAGUAAUUAUAGAAACUGUUGAGUUGAGUGACUGAAAAGAUCAUAAAAAUACAAGAGUCAACACUGACAACCAAUAGUUCAAUACUCGAUGCAAGGAUCAAAAGUGUCCUUAAUCUUUUUCAAAUUUUCAUCACAUUUAGGAUUUUUUUUAAAUCAUAAAAAACUUCUUUGAAUUUUAAACAUGUGUUAUACAUAUAAAUGGUGGCCCGUUUUAAUCAGAGUAAUUAGCAUAACCCCUGUUAGGUCAUUAAUAGAUAAAUUUAUAAAAAUAACCUCAAAACUUUUAAUUUUAAAAAUGAACUCCUUAUAAUUUUUUUUUUCUAUCAUAACUAGUUAAAAAUAAAUUUUCUUAAACUAAAACACCCCUUAUAUUUUAGAUUCCCAUUUUUCGCACAUACUAUAAAUAUGUGAUGCAUACAUUAGUUUUUUGUGACAAACAUAAUAGGUUCUUUUCACACAUAAUUACAAGCAUCUAUCGCCAUGUCUAUUACCAAAAAUAGGUGUAUGUCGCACAUAUUUUGAAUUUCAUCUUUAAUCUAAUUCUAACUAGAAUUUUUAUUUUUUAUUUUAUUUUUUUAAUCUAUCAACCGCAAAUAAGUAUUUUAAGAACCCACUUUAUUUUAUGAAUAAAAAAAAUUUAUAACGAAACCCACAUCAACAUCUAUAACAAGUAUAAAAAACCCAUAUUGCAUAAAACAUAUACUAACUUUAACUUCUUGUUUUUAAAUUUAUAAUUCUAUCUUCAAUUAUGCAUUACUACAUUUGUUAGAUGAAUUUGGUAAUUUUUUGAGAAUGAUGAGAUUUAGUUGAGUAAAGUGGUGAGGUUUGAUAAUCUUUUAAGAGUGAUGUUGGUUUAGUAAUUCUUUGAAAGUAAUGAGGAAUACUUGCUCCAAAAAAACUUCUACUUUGUUAGUUGUGACAGAAAAAUGUUAAGAGGGUCAACUUCAAAAAACCCAAAAGCUUUGGUACUUCUUUUAUAGAUUUGCCAUUAUGAUUCCCUUGGCACAUCAAAGAGCUCUGCAACUUGUAUUAUAGAGACCUGUACAUUUACAUCAAUAUAAAUGUACCUCUUCCAAGGGACAUGCCCUUCAUAUACAAGUCAUCAUAUUGAUCAUGUACGAAAUCGACUGACAGCAGCUCACACAGCUCGAUUCUACUAGUAGUCUAACAAAUCUACAUGCAUCUGUAAGCUCUCACAAGUGUCUUUCCUGAUGUUCAGAGAAAGGCUUGUGCCAUCUUCAAAAUGCAAGGUAGCUCACACCGCGUGAAGGAUUCUCUUUUAACUUCAAACUGCAUAUCAAAUGUUCGGGAUCCUACCCAUCCAUCGCACAUCUCAUUCAACCGGCAAAAUCUUCAGUAACUUGGCAAGGUCGUAAGACUUGAAGUCUCUCCCAUAACACAAGCUCAUAUCGAGAGCUGUUUUCCCAUCCUGAAAGAAGUGAACCAACAAUAUCAAAUAUUUAGUGUUCACCAUAACUCUGGUACAUACACUCGUAAUGUAAUAGCAAAAGCAUGAAGUAACAAUAACAGGCAAUUAUGCCUCAGAGUGCAAUGCCAAUACUAUUAGAACCAAUUUGAUCUCAUAAGAGUCAGUGGCACAAAUUUGAGAACUGGCAAAACAGCGAGAUUGGCCACAAUAGCAGCCUCCAAAUGAAACAUACAGUUUUAAAACUUUACCUUGGUUUUCCUCGACUUGUCAGCACCAUUAAUUAACAAUACUUUUGCUAUGUCUCUAUUUCUACUUUGUAUGGCAAUAUGCAAUGGAGUCCAUCCUUCCUGUUAAAAUAGGGUGUAAACAAGAUAGGAUACUUCUCUAGAUCAACGAGAUUUAGGGAUCAGGAAAAUUUAAGAAUCAAACUCACAUUAUCUGCAACGUUGACAUCAACAUUGUACUUGAUUAAUAACUUCACACUCUGCAUGGCACCAACUUGAACUGCGUAAUGAAGUGGAGUAGCACCAUCCUGUUAUGAAGACAAUUAUAUAAACCCAUAGUUCUUAUUCAAUACCAAUCUAUGGGGAAGCUGGAUAGAGUUCUGUGACCAAAACCUUCUACUCACCCCAUCUUUGACAUGUGGGUUUGCACCUUUUCUUAAGAGAUGACUAAUUACAGCCUCCUUUUUGCCAAUUAUUGCCUUAUGAAGAGCAGUGAGACCAUCCUGUUGCAACAUACCAACUAAGAUUCAUUGCUCAAGGGGGGAAAAAAAGUGAACUAGAGAGAAAGAGAGAGAAAGGAGGAAUAUAUCAUUGAACUCACAAAAUAUAAAUAUCGACAUACCUUGUCGACACUAUCUAUAUCAAGCCCACCGUCAAGUAGCAUAUCCAUAUAACGUAUCUGCAUUGAUAGUGCGAGAGUCUGCAGUGGCUUCCAUUUUGCCUGAAUAAUAGAGGUACAAUAACUUGAUAAUCAAGAAUUAUUCUCUCAGUCAACAAACUGAACUUUACUGCUAAAAAGCUCUAAGAAAUAGUAUGUAUUUCAACAAAAGUUCUCACUAUUGGAAGCCAGAAGUAAUAAUAAGCAAAAGACUGGUGUUAUAUGUGCAUAUAUUGGAAACAAGAGUAUCAAGAAAAAGGAAAAAAAUGAAUUUGCACAAGGAAUUUCCGACAUACAGUUGAAAUUUUUCCCAAGUUAGGAGUGGCAUUCUGGUUCAAAAUUUCUCUCUCCUCUGGCUCCAAAAGCUGCUCAACCUCUGCAAUCAUUAAAGAACACUCAUAUUUAGCAAUUUGCCAAUUCCAAAAAAGCAAAGAGAAAACAAGAUCAUCUGUGCUCAUAGAAGAAAGUCAAGGAUGUCUUGUGAGUGUAUUAAGGAAAUACUAAUUGUCUCAAUACAACUAUACAAGUGUAUGCAUAAAUAGCAGAGAUGAAAUCUACAGAAUGACUUAUGAGCUUCGUGUUGUAGUUCAUCGUUUCAUUUGCUAGGAAACACUAACUAAUCUAAUUCAACACCAACUUUCCUCAUCUCCUCUUCCUCCCAGCUGUAAGAAUAUUGAAGACUUAUUUACCUGAAACCAGUGCAGGUUGAGAAAAUAGGACUAGGAUGAUACAAAACAAAAACAACUGAAGGUGUAACCAUAGUUCAACAUUACUAAUCAAAGCAGCAAAGUAAAAUACAAUUGACCGCCACAUGAAAAGCAACAGUAGAGAAACACAAUUUUCUUACCACGGUAUAUUUUAGGGAGACAAAUUUGGAAUUAAUGACUUACUUUUGUAAUUACAUUGGAAGUACCAUCUGUAUUAUCCCAUAACAUGAGGAAAAUGAAUGAUCUUCAUAUGUUAACAAAUCCCUUUAUAUAAUUGUGAGCAAAAUCACAAAUGAAUAUACAGCAAUCCCAAUCACAUAACUAAACUAAUUAAACAAAAGAAAUCCAAAAACUACAAGAGCCAUCAAAACUAUAAUAAGAAUAUAACCGGAUACCAAGUACCUUUCAGCAGAUCCUCUUCAUACUUGCUUAUUGCUGUAGCCGCAUCCCCACUUGCAGCAGCACCAAUGCCACUUCUCUCCUCCUCCCAAUCACUCUCAAAAUCCAAGUCAUUUUCCUUGACUUCCCCCUCUUCGUCGUCGUCGUCAUCAUCAUCAUAUUCACUACCACUCCCGUCGUCCGGGUCCUCCCAUUCUCCCAUCUGGGUCUGCAACAAAGCUUCUUGCUUUGACUCCACAGCACAAAAUCUCACCUUUAUCAACUGUUUGUCAGUCACUGACAACCCAACGCUUCCUUGUCUUGAAGAAACCAAAACUUUGCUCGUACUGGUGCCAAAAAGAAUCGAAUUUGGAGCAGGCAGAGGAACGAAAGUUGAAAAGCCAUGUAGAUAAGAGUUCUUUAGAACAAAAUUUGUCAUCUUUUUUAAUCACUCUUUAGCUGUUCCAUGCAAAACAACACAUUUAACCAUCAAUGAAUUUUCAGUUCUAACAGUUACCCAUUUCACGAAACACACGAUAAAGUUUAUUUCAUGUAGAGAAAAUUGGAGCAGGUAAAAAGUGUUAAGAAGAAAAAUAAAUAAAUAAAAUUACCCGCCAAAAGCUUAAGAUUUAUUGCCUUCUGUGAGUUCUGUCGAGGUUGAAGCCGAAGUUACCGGUUAUGCUUGAAGGAGCAAGCAGGCUGCAGGGAGGCAUACUAGUGAAACGUCAGAACGUGUGAAAAACUGCUUACGGGAUAAUAACACGAGAAUCCCCUAACUUUUUAUGUCUUCUAAAAUAAGAAAAAAGGUUUCACUUUCAAUCAAAUACAUCCCGAUUAGUUAACGAAACGGCCUGAAUACGCCAACGAGUAGGAACGAUAUUACUAAAGGAUGUUUUACUAAUUUAUUAAUUUGCACAUGAAAUUUGGACAUACAUGAACAAACGAAUAAACUAUGGCCUCGCCUGGGAAUCGCAUAAAGAGGGUGCCAAUGUGAUUAACUCAAAUGUUUGUCUCACGGGCCUCGUGGACGGCCCCGAUUCAAAUAAUCCUUUUGGGCUUCAUUUUACUUUGGCGUCAUCGUCUGCCAUUUUAUUUUGUUAAGCAAAUUCUGAUAAAUGAGUAAUAAAUGAAAUUAAUCUCCAAAAUUUUAUAAACAUUUAAUUUCUGUUGUGUUUUUUUAAUUUUUUGGAAACCAAAUAAAAUACAGAUUCCCCCCCCCCCCCCCCCCCCCCCCCUUUUUUUUUCUUUUUUUCUCUCAAACCAAAAUAAACACUCAAUUUUGAUUCUUUAUAAGGUUCGAUAAAUGAAGAAAACCACAACCAAAAUUGUUAGAAAUGGAAAAGUUAAAAAGUAGAGAAAUGAAGAAACGAGAGAAAAGUUGUCAUCUAUAGGGAAACAGAGCAAAAGAACCAAAUUUUAUCUUUACAAAAAUAACAUAUCAUACACUCUAUUUACAGAAUUUUAAUGACUCAAAUGCCAUUCAUAUAAACUAAACAAAACGGUAUGCUACAGUCUCUGACCACCCUUCUUCUAUGCAAUGGUACAUGAAAGAUGUGCCACUCGAAAGGCCCGAGGCUUUGAUUGCUUCCAGGAUGGCUUCUGCAGAUAUGACAAAAUCAGCUGUAUGGUAUUUCUAAAGUAUGUAGCUCUAUGAUCAAGAGGAAGAGAAAACAGAAAGGAUUUUAACAAUGGAAAAUGAAUCUACCUCGAGCCUGGCAGCCCAUGGGAGAUGAUACAAAAAAUUUACGAGGCUGACAAGAAUCUGUGAAACCGCAGUACUCUUGCCUGAUUAUAAUGUGAAGAUCUUGCCCGGGAUGUUCUUCUUCUUUUUCGCCGAUAGAAGACAUCUUCAGUGUCUAGAACAUAAGUGAUCUGCCAUAAAAUAGCACCCAUUUAAUUGCUACAAACUCUAAUAUGAGGAAUUCAUAAAUUUUGUAUUAGCCAAAGUGUUGCAGAAGCAAGGUAAAGCUUAAAGCAAAUAGCCAAACUAUAUAAGUAGACCUUGUACGAGUUGCAGGCUAUCCUGCACUCAAGACCAUUAACCAACUGAACACCUUCCAUGGCCAUGCAUGCAGCAGAAAGUUCAUCUAGGCCUUCAAAUCUACGCUUGUUUCUGCAGAUAGAUUAAUAAUAAUAAUCAUAUUAGAUAACAAUUUAACUGAUUUUCAAAACCUUUUUUCUCAAGCAUUGUGCUUUAAAGCUAAUAAAAAUGCUAAAACCAUAUAUAACUGAAACAUAAAUGGCUUAGAGCUAGAUCAGCUGAAUAUAUCUUGGGUAUGCAUACCUUCAAUGACUUUAAAACUUAAAUGGUCAAUCCUAGAAGAGUUAAAGAAUACUGAUUGCCAACUUAUUUGGGUAUCCAUACCUUCAAUGGCUUUUCAACUUAAACCUGAUACCUAUUUGUUGUAAUCAGUAACCUAGACUUUCACUGACAACCCUUAUCUGGAGGAAGAACCUUCAAUUAUCAGACAAAGAAAUGCAUCCUUUAUCUGCUCCCUAUAUAGUUGGGUGAGUACACAGAGUAAUUAGAAAGCAACAUAAUCCGAACUGUAAAGUUACUACCUCCGAAGAACAACGGCAUGUGGCUCCUUUUUGCCAAGAAAGGCAGACAGAAAAUCAUUGAGGAGAUAAGCUGCAAAAUUAGGAUCCAUGGUAACUGCAAAUGCCUCUGGCUUUUCAAUCACAUUAUCCAUAAGCUGGAUGGAUAGACGAGAUGGGGAAGAUGACUGCCAAGAGAAUAUUGAAAAAAAAAAAAAAAAAUGUGAACAAAUAGUUACAUAGAAAGUGAAGUUAACAACUAUAGGCAAGCAGCGUGUAUGUUGAUAGGUGAGUGUACAUAUGAGCGGAGAGGAAAGAAGGAAAAAGAAAAGUUCAAAGGACUUAACGAGUUGUAUUCGAUAUAUAUUCUCUUCAUGGAGGAGUACACGGGCAUUCUCAUAAUAAACUGAAUCAAUCUGCUUCCCAGGUUUCCGGGAUUCUUCAUACUCGUAUAACUGAAUAAGCUUGUUAUCCAUCUCAUCAGCUGCAACAGUUUGAAGCUGCAGCAGGAUUCAAGAACUAAGAUUUGGAAACUUCACAAGGCAGAGGCAAUAAACUAUCCAAAGAAUGUGGGGAACUAACCUGUUUACAUAAUCUAUAUAGUAACUUGUCCAAGGUAAACAACACAUAUGACUGAUUUCCUAUAAUAGCUCGGCACUCAUCCUCAAACUUCGCAUUGUCAAUGGAUCCGUCAAGCAAAUUGUAUAGUGCAGUCAUAAAUCUGUGCAGCAUACAGAUAAUAAAACAUUCAAGAUUAAAAUGCAUGACGGACUUUUAAUUUUAUUAAAACUAGAUUAUGUGAUGUUGAGCCACCUGGCAUAGAGAUCUGAGCAACUGGCCUCCUUAGAAGUUCUCCGUUUCAUUUCAGCACCUGUUGUAUUCAUUUUUGCCCAUUGAAUUCUUUCAUAUAGAGUCUGGCAAAUUCAAAUAGAAUAGUUAAAAAUAGCAAUGAUUAGCCUUUAAAAACACCCCAACAGUGCAACUACUUACUUGAUGAAGCCUGAAAAGCACAUAAAAGUCGUCAUUUCCAUAAAAUACCCUACAAUCUUUCCUUUCUUCAACUGAGGUUGCUGGCACAAACUUUGCAAGAGGCUUGACAGACAAAAGAAAACGUUCAGACAUAGGCAAUGACAUGCAAUCUCCACCCACAAAGUGUUGAUCAGCCAUUCCAUCUGCUUCGCCUUCACUCUCAGCCUUGCCGUCAACAUCAUCUCGUUCUACAUCUUCCUCCUCUUCAUGCUCCUCGCGGGAGUACUCAUCACCUGCAGACUCACUUCCUGAGGCAUCAUCACCAGCCACAGAAGCAUUUCCACUGUCCUCAUCAUCAGCAUCUGCAUCAUUUUCUCCUCCAACAACCUGAUGUUGUAAUCCUUUUUCAUUUUUAGACUGAUAUUGCCUGCUUUCAACACCAUGCUUUGCCUUAGGCAAGGUCUUCACAGCAGCAUCUCCAUAGACACCAAAAUUAUCCUCCUCAAAAUCACCAUUGGGCGAUAACUCACCCUCUUCUUUUUCAAUUUUGGUGGGCCCAACUGAUUUUUCAUGAUAAUUAAUACCUUUAGCACCAUCUCUCAAAGCUCCAUUUUCCAAUAAAGUCGGUUUUGCUAGAUCACAGCCCUGUGUCACCUAUACUAACAAAUUAAUAUGAAAAUACUUACAAAUUAAUAUAAAAAUUAAUAAGAAAAUUCUCUUCUUCGCAGCUGCAAUGUCUAUACCAGCUAGGAUCUGAAAGUUGCCCCAACUGUAAAAUCAUACCUCUGAUGGAGGGACUGGAUUGACAUUAGCUUCGUGUUUAAGGUCAUCUUUAGCAGCAUCACAAGGUCUCAAAGAAGCUGCACCAUACCCUUAAAAUUGAAGAUAUUCUCAACAUUGCAGCAGGAUUCAAGUUAUAUACACAUGUAUAAUUACUCUUACAUACAAUGAAAAGGAAAUCAUAAAGACUAACUAGAUCAAGAUAAGAACCAAAUAUUACAUAAAGACAAUUUUCAUGCAAUUGAUGAUCCUAAUUUACUGACCUGACAUCAUUUCAGAGCCAGUUCUGCCAUGACUGUUUUCUGCACCAAUUGCAGGCGAAGCAUCGGAAUUUGCUACUCGCUCACCCACUGCAACUUGUAUGAUAAUUCCAGACCUUUUAUCAGAAAUAUCUACAUUUUUCUGCUCUUUUUCUAGCUGAAGAGCACUACAGGACAAAUCAUCUCUGUAGACACGAUCUGAGUCCAGAACAUUUUCUUUAGUUAUCGUAUCCCCAUUGGACAAAGCAGUCCGGCAUAAAUUAUUUAAUUCUGUUGAAGUAUUUUCAUCUCCAUUUCCAGAAGAUAUUGGCUGUCUAGAAUUUACGGUGCCAUCAGGCCCAGGACUUCCAUCACUUUCCACCAUGCUUGAUGCACUGUUAUUUUUCCCAGAAUGCCUAGCUUUUCCCGCAUCUUCAGCACCCUCUACGUCACUAGGCCGAGAAGGAACACUCAGCAUUGGCUCCAAGAAGGUAGUCCAUAGCUUCAUAGCUUUAUUCAGUUGAUCUUUGGUCGAGCACAUCUCUUCACAAGAAUACUGAACAAGUUUAUACAAAUCUUCAUGAAUGUUGCUAUCAGAGUACCCAUAUUCCAGGUGAGGAAGUACGGGUUGUCUGUGACCAGCAGCAAUAACAAAAAGCACAUCAUCCUCUGUCUGUUUAUUCUCUUUGAACUGCUUAAUUUCAGCCACCAAAGCUGCAAUAUCAAGUAUGGACUCUCAGAAUGGAAGAUAAAAACAAAGUGUUUGCAUACCACAUCACAAAAAUUUUAGUGUAGUCUACUCUCCUUAAGAUGUAUAAAAUUCUCCCUUAGCUAGAAAUGCUCAUAUGUGCAAUGAAGUGGCCAUUAACUUGGAUGAAAAACUUUUACUUACAUUUUGUGCUCAAGUUCUUCGAAUCUUGUUGCUUAAAGUAGAAGCUGCGAUGAUCAAGUGAUUUGUAAUGGUUUUUAGCAUAUAUUUCAGCCCAAACCUUGUUAAAAUCUGAUCGGCACUUCGUCCACUCUUCCUGUUUUUGCUUCAAACGAGUCAACAUAACUGGCAGUGCAAUCGCUGGAUUUUUACGCAAUAUGUCCAUGACAUCAAGACCAUGGUCACCAUACAAACGCUCAAUACACCUUAAAUUUAAAGCUGCAAUGUGGGCAACAGAAAUGAGUCAGAGUCAAGAAAAGAAAUAAUAACUCUGGCCAAUGGAAUAUAAUAUAUUUCUUGAAUAAGAUAUAUAUACAUACCACUAAAGUGAUCUUUAAGAUGGAAGGGGGUCUCCAGAGUGAUUUUAUUUUCAUUGAUGCUAUUCAGCAAUUCCUCUGCACGUUUAGCAGUUGAGCUCACAGAUUCUAACAACAUGUCCAGCUCAAACCUAAAUGAUAAUAACAACGCCAUCAUCAGUUGCCAGAAAUAUUGAGAAAAAUUAUUAUUACCUUGUUCUAUUCCAAUGCAUGAUUAUAAUUAGCUUUUAAACAACAACAUGAGCUAAAAAGUAUAUACCACACAGAAAACCGCAUCGAUCCUCAAAAAUUCAACUCAAAAGUACUUUCAUCUCCUUUUAAACAUGAUAUAUACCAUAAUUGAGGGCCAAGAUUAAUAAAUUCCAAAUCCAGCAUCAUGCACUCCUACCUAUCAUCUUCACAUCUGAACAAGCUUUCUUCAUACUGAUUUCUACGCAUAUGUUUAAAAGAGUAGUCCUCGCUUCCAGAAGUCACAGAAACCCAGUGAUCAUUCAGAACUUGAGCACCAAGUUCCGAUCUCUGGCUAGCUGAAGGUAUUGGAUACUACAAAGUGACAAAAACCAAAAAAAUAAAAAAACAAAUAACUAGCAAAUUAAAAAAAAAAUCCAUGAAUAUAAUAUAACUGAACAGUCAUACGUCAUCUGGAAGAAGCCGAUAGCUGGGCGUGCAACGUUGACAGUUAGAAAGAUCAAGCUCUUGAAUGGAUUUUGCAUAAUACUUCUCCUUGUAUCGGUCCUUUUCUUUAGUUACUUCCAUUUCACGCUUAUGUUCUCUAUCUUUGUCCUCUAUCUUCACAGAUCUGGAUACAUGCCCGUCAUUGCAUAGUGAUUCUACAAUCAAAAAGCAAGAAAAAUCAGAACAUACAAUACACAGGGUGGGGGAGGGAGUAGGAACUAGAUAAAUUCCAGCAGCUUUAUGCCUGUCAAGAAUUGAAAAAAUGAAAAAAGAAGAAAGCAAAAUACAUAAUUUUACGUACUUUUACUCAUAACACCAGCGAGGAACCCGUCUGCAAGAAAAGAUCUUGAUUAGACACAACCUUCAAAAUUAAAACCAAUUAAGCAAGACAGGUUUCAACAGUUACCAAUAUUCUCACAACGCUCAAAGAAAUGAUUGAACUCAUCCAUAAGAUCCAUAUACUUUCCAAGUAAAUCAGUAACCUAAAAGAAAAAGACACCGAGUUACCAUAAAUAAUAGAGUAGUCUAUCUCUCAAUUCUGCUCUUCCAUAAGGAAAAUAAAUAAAUACAGAGAAUUUAUAGCCACAGAAAUAUAGAUUUGCGAUCCUGCACGGAGAUAAAAAUUGUAUACAAAAUAGUUAAAUGAAUAUAUCAUUAUGUUAAUUAGGAGGCAAAAGCCAACGGCGAAACAUACGCCUGCAAAGGCCCUUUAAAGAUGAAUAGAUAAUCUAACAUAAGAUUAAAAGGCUCAAAUAACUGCCACAGACAAAUAGGGCAUACCAAAUUUUGUAAAUCGUUCCUUUUAAUUAUUCCAUUGCUAUAAAUAUGAAGACACUUCAAGAAUGCCUGGUAGUCAUCUGAACAUAACUUCUCCUUAACUUUGUCGCAGAAGAUGAACCCUUGGUUGUAAAUGCCUGCCACAGUAACUGAGAAACCUUAGAACAAGAAAGAAACUAAUAUAUGAUAGGAAACAAUUUAAGCCUAAAAUCACCACAAAGAACACGUAAAGUGCAAGACUUAAGAACUCCAAAAUGCUGGUUCACAUUGACAUGCUAAGUAGUAAGUACCACCAUAAAAAAGCUCCACAUGUAGCCCAAGUCCCUUUACCUACAGUUAGACAAUUGGGCUCGCAAUAGAAAAGCCUGUUGCCUGCAUACCUUACAAUAUCCUCGUGAAGCACAACUUGUUAAUAACAUCCAGAUCAAUUAUCAUUUCUCCAGGUUCACAUAAAUCAAAAGCCAUGCAAAAUGCUGAUUUAGGUCAUUUCUAGGAUAAGUGUCACUAUUUGAUGGAGAGGUAUGAUAAUCAUGAAAGAAAUAGGGUCACAAUAUUCCUGCCCAACUAGAAAAGCAGUGUAGCAUUAUAUCCCCCGCCCCUAGAGGGGACAGUACUCUAGAGAGCAUUACAACUCUUUGACAGGGAGAAGCAUCUACGGAUCAUCAACAAUGACUUAAAUACUUACCAAGCACAAGAAAAAUAAAUAUAGCAAUGUUAGUAAUGGGUAACACAAGGAGAAAGCUCCUCCCAGACAUGCCGGAAAAUAACUACUUGCAAAGAGCCCUAGUACGAACUAUAUAUGCAUAAAUGUAUUAAAGAAAAUACUUAGGCAUUAGCACAUUAAAUGGAACAACUGACUCACUCUUCAAGGCAUCCUUGUCAUCAUAAGAAGCAAGGCUAGAAUUUGCUCCAAAACCUUCAACUUUCUUGAUAGACUUCUUUUUGUCAGGAAAACGCUGCAAGUUGAAGUCCCUAUUAUUAUCGUGCUCAAUUUCUCUAUCAUCUCGAUCACGAUUUCUCCUAUCCCUAUUUUCCUUUUCUGCACGUCUCCUCUGCUCCUUCUGCAUUUUUAUCAUCAAUUUCUCAUCAUCCAUCUCAGGACGAUCAACACUAAGAUCACGAUCAGCAUGGGAAGUAGCAAUCCUAUCUCGCCGACGAUGCUGGAAAAAUUAGAUUCACUAGCUUACCAAUAAGAAUCUUCAGAAGAAAGAAGAAGAAACACAUACAAUACCAAAAAGAAAGGAGAUUGCAAAACCCAAAAAAGAAAAAAAAAUGGGGGCCAGAGCAAAUACCUUGUCCAUUUGCAUUUGCCUCAAUGGUGGUAUACCAGCACUUCGCUCAUUGCCCCGUUGUGUUGAAUUUCGGACAAAUGGAAUAUUGUGAGAUAAAGAUGUUGCUGAAGUGUCAGGUAAGAAUCUAGUGAAUUCCUCGAGAAGAUCUGCAUGGUCCUCAAAAAGAGAGGCAACCUGAAAAAUAUUUGAACAGAAACGACCAAACACAAUUAAUUAGCGGACAAAUAAUAACUUUCAGAAAAAGAAAAGAUUUGGUGAAUAUGGAAAGUUAACAAAUCAUCCUAGGAAACAGAAAACUUUUAACAUUUAUUUACCUCACUGUAGACCUCAUUAAUAUCCUUGUGCUCCUUCCUAUACAUAUUCAAAAUUUCAAGGAAUGAUUUAUAGACAUGUUCAUCAUUGUGGAAACGUUUCUGUAACAAGGAAACCCAUCAAUUAGAAACCUAAAAAGCCAACAUUUUCACCUCAAAAUACCAUAAUGGGACGAAGCUUUCACCUUUAUCUUAUUUACGAAAGUAAUUGCUUCUUCAAAUUCAACCGUUUUCUUUGGAGGAGCCUCAUCCUCAUCAAGUGUUAUUUCAUAACCCUUUGGCAAGAAGGUAUUGAAUCCAAAAAUCAAAUUAUUAUGUCCUUUAAAUAAGUCCUUCACCCUUGCAAUGACACCGGCAGUAUCGGUUCUGGAAAACGACAAAGUUAAAAACAACACCUCCAUUUGUCACCAGCAAAAACUAACGGAAGCAAAAGAAUAUACCUCUGAGCCUUGAAAUCUUUCAUGACUUCUAGGAACAUGUCAUAUUUUUCCCUUUGGUCUUGAAACAUGUCCUUUACCUCCUUGAGAUAAGUUAAGGCAUCGCUCGUUGUCAGUUUCUGCGAGGUACCCAUUCCAGUCGUCAUUCCACCUCCUCCACCUCCUACCCCACUGCCUCCGCCUGCGCCUGCACCUCCACCUCCACCUGCACCUCCGCCUCCACCUGCUCCUGUGCCUGGCAGUUGAGGGGACAGCCCAUAGCUUCACAGCCAAAGAAAAUUAAUAAUUUAUAUGCUUUAUAAUCAAAAAGAAAAUAAUAACAUUUUCCCUCUCAACUGCCCAUAUGUUCUUGAAGCUAACGGCAAAACCUAAGUGCAAGUGCACUAGAUUCGAAACUGAGGCACUAGUGUUGCACCCUACAACUUUCGUGCCAAAACAAACCCAAACCCAUUUUCUCAGAAAGACACAAAUCAUGAAUAUAAUUUGAAAAAACAACCAUUAACAUAACGAUUUUUACGUCCUUCAUAAUCGAAAAACAAGCAAUCAAACACAAUUCACGAAUAGCACAAGAGCCAAACACCGUGAAUCAGCAGGGCAAAAUAAAACAAAGGUAGCUUACGAUUCACCGCGAGGAGGAGCAGUCGUUAAAGGCCUUUUAAAUUGUGAGCCACCAUACACAUCGUCUCUUAUUCGUUUCAUUUCUGAAAAACAAAAACAAAUAUUACACGAAUAACUAAUUUGUGAAAUAGAUAAAAUAAGAUUACCGUUUUGAAUGAAAAAUAAUUACAGGACCUGAGGGCUAAGGCUUUAUUUAAAACAGAUCUUAGAAACAAACUACUAACUUAGAAGCAAGAGUCUGAUCGGGGUUACAAAAGAGAGAAUAAUAAUAAGCCUUUUUUUUUCCCUCUAAAUUUAUUUAUUAUAUAUCUUUUUUUUAAAGAGGAAAUGAAAUGGAGAAUAGUGUGCGUGCGUCGAGGGACUUAAUGAGAAGAGAAAAUGGUGAGAGUCAAAAUCUGAAAAUUCGAAAAUAGUGGUGUUGUGUGAGAGAGAGCGAGAGGCUUUGCUUUUGCAAAUUGUAAAAAAAUUGCACAAGCACAAGCACAACAAAGGUUAUUUAAAAAUAAUAAUAAUAAUACUAAAUAAAUAAAUAAAGGUCUAAUUUUGGAAGCAGUUUUUUGUGUUUUCUUUGGCUUCAAAUGGGCUCUUCUAAGAUUUCACAGUAAGGUCAACCGAAGAGACUUGAUUUUGCUGCAAUUCCGCAUGCACAAUUUGAUUAAUUCUUAAAAUAAAUCACACAAAAACUGUGGGAAAUAAAAAAUAAAUAAAUCAUAGAAAAAUCAGUCGCGGGUAAUUAACUUCAAAAUUUACUUAUAUUUUUAUCAAAGAGAAGUUCGUAUCAUAAGAGAAUCGUAAUCUUUAUAUAAAGAGGAAAAAAAAAACCCGAAGAUAAUUUUAAGAUUUAUAAUGAUUUCAUUCCCAUUUUGAAUCUAAUAAUUAGUAGAUUGGAAGGUCCAUUACUUAAUGGAAAUUGACUUAUAAGAUAAUAAUAUAUAAAAAAGAAAAAUCCUAAAAUUUCUUUGCAUUUUCAAAAAUGACUUACCAGAGAUGGUAGCACAUUUACUUACAUAUGCAAAUUUAUUGACAGGUUACAAUUUGGCUCUCGUGAAAAUGAACUGGUCAAGCGCGAACAAACAAAUGAGAGUGUAUGACGUGUUAUUUAUAUGUUCAUUCAUACAUUAUAUAUCAUCUUAUAUUUAUUUGUAUUUGUACAAAUUCGUACAAUUAAUUUGUGGUUUUAUGUAAUAUUAUCGAAAUUUCAAGACCCAGUAGUACCCAUCACACAAUCACACUAGCACGUAAGUGGAUAUAAUUUCGUAAAUGCCAAUAAAAGAAGGGAUCAAAUCAUUCAUUCCGGUGCACGAUUAAUAUCAAAAUAUAAAUAUUUACAAAUUUUUUUUUUUUGGGUUUCAAGCAAACAUUUGCAAGUUUUAACAUCGUAUAUUGGUUGGUCAUCGUCGUCAAAGGAAAUUAAAAAAAAAAAGACGAAAAAAAAUGGUCCAAGCCCAACCCAAGACACUAAAAGCAGCCCAAUGCUUGAAAUCUGAAAUCUAAAAAAGAGGGGGGGGGGGGGGGGGGGGGGAAUCGUACAGUUCUUGAGUUUACAAUUGUUUUCAGUUUUUGUAACGGAGAUUCAAGAUUUGCCUCAGCAUAAAAGCUGUGCGUGAAGUACAAAGCUAGAGCUGUUUUCAACUAAAACUUGGCCAAAAUAAACAGAACCAGUUCCGGUUGUUUCAGCUUCCAAAGUUAAACAGACAGCUGAGGAAGCAAGAGAACAAAAACUGUGAGCGUGUUAAACAGAUAGUUUUAUUUUUUUAUUUCCAAUAAAUUAAAUUAGAGGAUAAGAACAACAUAAGCCUGUCCAAUCACCAACCUGCCUAUUUUUUAUAUUAAUUAACACCUUUUUUUUUUCUUUUUUGAAACAAUUAAUAAUUAGCACCUUAAAACAAAAGAGUGAGGUAAAAUAGUGAUAAAAUGCAUCCAAAAUAUAGGGGAAAAAAGAAAAGAAAAUGAAAAUACAAUAUUGUAACUUUUUAGAAUCUUUAGGCGCAGCCCUUGUACAGCGGUCCAAUACCGGCAGCAACACAAUCUUGACCCGACAGAAUCCGACUCUCUAGUAAGGUCCGUAGUCAUGAUACCGGCAUGGGCAAUGACCCGAUUCGUUGCCAGCCCACUAUUGCCAGCGUCCAUGGCCCAUGUCAUGAGUAAAUCCAUGAUGAAUGUAGGCUACUGUAUGGUUUCUGCAAAGCCACUCGAUCGCCCACCAAUCGCUAAGGAGAGGACUCAAAGGGCCAAUAUCCGAUUAGAUCUCAAGCCCAGAGGCUGGACUGCCAUGCAUAUCAAUGUCACCACCAAUGCCAGGUUUCCCAUGCAGGAAAUGAUUAUCCCAAUUGUGAUUUCUUACAUAUAGCACAUAUCGUUUGCAACAAGCACAGCAAUUUUGAUCGUGACCCACCAUUACCAAAGACUCUCACCUGUCAACAACUAAAUUCCAGAAACAUGUAAUUUCCAUUGUUCUUGAUUUUGCUCACAUAGUGCUGAUCACAGGGAUUUUCCUUGGUUUUGCUAAUAACAUGCUAUUUGCAUCAUACUAAUCAAUGUUCAGAAUUGAGAAAGACCCAAAUCAAUGAGUAUAUAAUCUUUUGUACAUAAAAGGAAAAAAAAAAUAUGCACAUAAUAUGCAUUAGUACUCAUUGAAGAAAGUGACGAAGCCAUUGCAAUCAACACAACUUGCAAAAGCCAAAAAUAAAAAAAAAAUAAAAAAUAAGGGUCAAUCUAGAUCACUGCUAGCAGAGCCGAGAUUGACUACAUUAUCUUUUAUGUUUAUGGGAUUAAGCAUAAGAAAUUAACAGUGCGGUCAAAGCGUGAAUGAUGAUAUGGUAUAUUAAAUUAUGUAUGUUUAGCCAAGCCCUGCCUUAAUCCCAAUUUGAAUGGACCCUGUAAGGCUAACGAGAAUUUACCAAUAGUUUUGGUUUCCCCAACAAAGGCACAAACGAUGAGAGCCGACGCAUUUCCUUCAUUAUUCACCAAACCAACAAUAGUUUUGGUUUCCACAACCGACACCACCAGCCUGCAUGAAAAUGGAUCGAAAAUAAAUCUGCUCUUUUUCUUGACCUCGCUGCCUUUUCUUUCACUGCCCAUUUCCAAAGACAAGAAACAGACUACAAUAAGGCACCUCCGUUUAGCUUUCCCCUUAAUUGGUUCCUUCCAAGAGGCAGAGGUUACUUCCUAGACUGCUUGCAAGGUUCAAAAAUGGCCAAAAACAUAAAAAUAAAAACCGUUUGUGAUGCAUCUGUUGAAAGAACCUACACCAUGUGUUGUGUUAUGAAAUUUGCUUAAUCUCUUUUUGACUAUUGUUUCCCAUCUUCAAUGUGACAGUCCAAUUUAUUUAGCACUUGCAGUACUAGAAAAGGUCAAGAGAUCGAUUUUCCCAUUUUGGAGUCACACCAACAUUGGAGGAUGUAGCCAUUAAAUAUUUAAUUUGUUUUCGGCAGAAGGUCACACGCUGCUCAUUCAAGUUAUUUUAUUUAAACCAAGGUUGACAGAAACUUACAAUAUAGCAUUGGCAGAAUGCCUGAUGCUUUGAAGAGGAGCAAUAAGCAGCAACUUCUAUGCACAUGCCUUAAGUUUUAUAGAAAAAUAUAUCUCUAAUAUGUAUUCACUUCCUCCCAUCAAUUAAAAUUUAGUUGACCGCCGUUGUCAAUUCUGUUCUGCCGUUUGGAGGCUGACCAAUGAGUAGUAAGCUCCUGCGGGUCCCUUUGCCAACAAAGAUUCAUGGCUCCCUUCCUCCACCACACGUCCUUGUUCCAACACCGCAAUCAUAUCACAAUUUUGAAUGGUACUUAGCCGAUGUGCUACCACCACACUGGUUCUCCCCACCAUUAGACGCUCAAGUGCUUCCUGCACCAAUUUCUCCGACUGACUAUCAAGUGCGCUUGUCGCCUCAUCUAACAAUAACACUGCUGGAUUUUUCAGUAUGGCACGAGCUAUGGCAAUGCGUUGCUUUUGGCCUCCAGAUAGCUGCAAUCCCCUGUCUCCGCACCACGUGUCGUAACCUUCACUCAGUCCGGCGAUAAAAUCAUGUGCAUUGGCUGCCUUUGCGGCUUCAAUGAUCUCUGAUUCGUCGAUUUUAUCAGAUGCUCCGUAUGUGAUGUUUUCUCUGACGGUAACCGCAAACAGAGCAGGCUCUUGGCUAACAAGUGCAACAUGUCUCCUCAGCGACCUAAGGUGGUAUGAUCUGAUGUCUUCACCAUCAAUUUUCACAACACCCUUCAAAGGAUCAUAAAACCGUUCAAUUAAGCCAAUGACUGUCGAUUUGCCAGACCCACUUUGUCCCACCAAUGCCGUUGACUUUUCUGCUUCAAUAUUGAUUGAGAAGCCUUUGAAAAUCAUCACAUCAGGUCUAGCAGGGUAUGCAAAAUGUACAUAUUGAAGUUCAAUGUGUCCUGUUAUUUUUUCAGGUCGAUAACCUUUCGGGUCUUCAGGGUUAAUCUUAGUAUCCCGGUCCAAUACAGCAAAGACCGAAGCAACAGCAUUUGAGCCUUUAGCAAUGUCUGUAGUCAUUGUACCAGCAUCAGCUAUAACCUUGCCCGUGCUCACUAACACCAAGAAGAUUUCGAAAAGAGAUUUUGCAUUAAUGUAUCCCCUGGCGACGAGCCUACCACCAUACCAAAAGGCUAGUGCCACGACGCAUGACACUAGGGAUCGGGAAAAGGCAAGGCAUAUACCAGCAAUCCAAGACUGUCGAACACCCUCUCGUCGUGGGGCUUCUUGAGCCUUUUCGAGCAUUUUCAGAAUCCGUUCUUGGGAAGAGAAGGCAGUGAUGGUCCUGAGAUUGGAGACUGCCUCAGCAGCUAGCUUGCUGCUUUCAUCUUGUGCCUUUAUCACCUUCUUUGACAUUCUUUUCAGCAGUACCUCUUUACCGUAUAAGCAUACAAUGACGAGAGGCUGGACUGCUAUGAUCACUAACGCCAGCCUCCAUGAAAUUAUUAGGCUCAUGGUGAAAGCUAUGGUUAUAGAAGAGAGAGUUUGUACAAGCAAAGCAACCCGAUCACCCACCAAUGAUCUCACCUGCCAAAAAUCAAACUACGGUUAAGAAGAGCACUUUAAUGCAUCAUGUAAGAGCAAAAAUGUUUAGUACAUACCACAUUGGCAUCUUUGGCAAGUCGAGAGCAAAUCGCACCACUUGAAUUCUCAUCUUGAUCAAACCACCCAACUUCAAACGUGAGUAUCUUUGAAAGCAUAUUUUUUCUAAUCCUUUUGGUCAAGUACUCACCCGUGUAAGCGAAAUAAUACUGCUGACAAACAUUAGUUAACAAAGAAAAUAUCGAUAGCCCAAAGAAACACAGUGAAUAAAAUCUUGUUUUCUCUUUAAUCUCAUCAUGGUCUUUCAAAAAAUAUACUGAUAUCAUAGAACCCAUUGCAAAUGCAUAAACUGGCUGCACUGCACCAAAUAAUAUUGCACUCAGACACCCCAAGCUUGCUUGUUUCCAUUCCCGUAUAUUCAAAGCUAACAAUCUCCUGAAAGAUGGUGCUGUUAAUUUCUUGUUAUCCUCUUCUCGGUUGUUUUGCUUUAGAUUACCAUCCUCUAAGGAAGCUCUACUUUGCGAGAAAGAGACAUCAGAGCUUGACCUACUAACCUGUGAAAAUCUGCUACUACUAGUGCUGUUUACGUCAGUCAAGUUUGAUAGAGAAGACAAGCUAUGCAAGUCUUUAUUAUUGAGAUCCAGAUUUUUAUUUCGUUUUUCAGUCUGAUGAAGAUGUACAAGUGCAGUGUACAGGCCAUUUUCAUCUUGUAUUAGCUCAUCAUGGGAUCCUGUUUCCAUGACUUGUCCAUUUUGGAUUACGACAAUGACGUCUGCGCUGCGGAUGGUAGAGAGACGAUGGGCUAUGACAAUGGUCGUGCGGCCAACGGCAGCAUUCUCUAGGGCUUCCUGAACAACACGCUCGGAUUCAGAGUCUAGGGCACUGGUUGCUUCAUCUAGCAGAAGGAUUCUGGGUGAUUUGAUUAUUGCUCGCGCUAUAGCAAUCCUUUGCUUCUGUCCCCCUGACAUUUGAACUCCUCUUUCACCAACCUGUUAAUUUUAAAACACAUAUAAAUAUUGUUAAUUGAGUGAGUCCAAUAUAUAGUGUUUGCUUUCGGUCAUUUUGAAUGGCAAGCUGGCCUAGGCCCGAGCAGAACUAAUUACCUGGGUAUCAUAUUGCUGUGGCAACUGACAAAUGAAAUUAUGUGCAUUUGAAGCUUUGGCCGCCUCAAUGAUCUCCUCCAUUGAGGCAUCUUCCUUGCCAAAAAGUAUGUUUUCCUUAAUACUUGUUGCAAAAAGUGCCGGCUCUUGGCUCACCAGACCCAUCUGUGACCUUAGCCAUUUGAGCUGCAAUUUAUCGAUGGCAACUCCAUCAAGCAGGAUUUCUCCCCCAAGUAGGCCGUAAAAUCUUUGUAAUAACGACACUACUGUGGAUUUUCCCGAGCCACUGCCACCAACUAAGGCCACUGUAUUUCCUGCUGGAACUUUUAGGCAGAAGUCUUUGAAGAUUAUGGUUUCGGGCCUUGAUGGGUAGGCAAAUACAACAUUCCUGAACUCAACUUCACCUAAAAAUUUCUCGAGGGUUUCACCUUCCAUGUUUUCUGAAUCUAUAUCGGGGACUCUUUUUAUCACAUCCCUUAUAUGUUCUCCUGCGGACGCUGCUUCUGAAAUGUACUUAAAGUUGGAUAAACCAGCCCCUAGUGCUCUGGUUAAGAAGACCCAGUGUAUCAUCAUCAGUCUCAUAGUCAGAAAAUCAAAUAAUCAGAAUUAAAUACAAACAAGAAAAAAGAUAUAAAAAUAUCAAAAUUUCAUACAUACAUUAUAUAUAUGUAUAUAUGUAUAAUUGAGAUGAUAAAAUCUCUUUUUUUUAAUAACAAAAUUGUGUGCGCAGAAGUUUAUGUGAUUUUUGAAAAUAAUUUUAAACUUGAAAUUUUUUAAAAUUUAUUUUGAACAUAAAUUUAAUGUAUUUAAUUAGUCCAGCUAAACAAAUUUAUAAUUCUUUAAAAAUAUAUAUAUAAUUAUACUGAGCAGGAGGAAAAAAAGUGUCAUGAAAUCAAGACUAGAAUUUUAGUAAUAAAGGUGCAGAUACUUACUGGCCACCGACGACAAUGGUGGUUCCGGCAGCGAAAACAGCUCCCCCUUUAGCCCCAUGGUACAUGACCAGUCUGCUGCCAUAAUAAGCCAAAAAGGACCAAAUAGCAUAUGUAAUUGCAUUGAUGCCACUGGCAAAGCCUUUACACAAACCUUGCUUUAAGCCUAACUUGACUGACCCUUGUAGGGCCGAAGAGAAUUCAUCAAGGGUUUUGCCUUCACCAACAAAGGCAUAUACAGUUCGUACGGAUGAUAUUGCCUGUUCCACAAUCGUAUUAGCCAUGUUGUACUCUUCUCUCAUCUUUCGUGCUAAUACCAUCAAAAUCCUUCCGUAUAUUAAUCCAAGAACCACCAGAAGCACAACAAAGGGAAACCCAACAACAACUAGCUGCCAUAGAAUCAUAAAGCCUACGAUGUAGCUACCAAAGAAUAUAGCAACAUUUACCAAAAAGUUCGGAAGCUGUCAGGCACAAAUAUUUCAGACAGUCACUUCAACGGCAAGUAAAUUGAUUGAUACUGAAAAGCAUGUUCACUUCAGAUUUAACAGAAUAUAUUAGAAUAACUUCUAUAUGUAUACUUGUUGUAGGAGAAUUAAAGGGUCAAAUUAAUCAAAUGGUUUUAAAUUACUAAUUAAUUAACCUUUUCACUGAGAACAUCUUGAAUCACAAGAGUAUCAUUAGAAACACUGGAGAUGAUCUCUGCUGUGCUUGUGACAUGCAAGUCAAAAUAUCCAACAUCUUGCCUCAGGAUUGCUUUUAAGUAGAUGGCUCUCAUCCUUGUUGCUUGUCUUUCACCCGUUCUGGUCCAACAGUAUGCCUCUAAAAAUCUCAAAAAAUUAAGAUUUAAUGAAGAUUAUUUUUUUUUCUUACCCGUUGGACUUAAGUCCUAAAAGGACUGCUACUUACCACUAGCUAGAGCUGAACUUUAGAUUCAAUUAAAAUUAUUUAUUUUAAAAAAACUUGAACAAAUUUAACUGAUCAGCAAUUAUAAAACCCACCUAGGAAAGCAGCAAUCCAUGCUAUACAAGCAAGGUACAAGAUCAUCACCGCAUUCUGUCAUCCAGAAAAUAAUGAUUUGGGUAAGCAAGCCAGGUUCAAUAUAAGUUCAUUUCCGUGAAAGAAAUAUUAUUAUUCAUAGUAAAGAAAGAAAGACGAGAGCAUAUAUUACAUUGUAGAGUUGAUGAGUAAACACAUCCACAGGGAGACUUGAUGCAUUCCCAACAUUAUUCAUCAAUCUACACAUCACAAAUGUCAACAAAGGUGUUGAGAACCCAUCACAUAUGGCUCCAGUGAAUCCCAAAACCAUGAGAAACAUAUCCACACGGUCCGCAUGCAUGAAAAUCGAUCGAAAAGACCCAAACAUGUUUCUUCUUCCGCCCUCUCUUUCUCUACUCAUUUUCAGAGAUACUGAAACAACUAAAUUAGCUACUUCCUAAAAGGUGCGUGUUAGUGGUGUGCCCUGAAUGGGCAGAUUUAUAAGAAGCUUACACAUACGUGCAACUGUGUGCUAUCCUCUUUUAAGCACUUCUUUUUGUGAGGCAGGUAAUUAAUAUUCUUGUUAUGAGAAGGACAGAUUAACUAAUAGUGAUGAUAACUUAUGCAAAGGAGUGGCAGAUCUUUGUAUAUAACAACACUACGUAGUGAGGUUAUGUAGUAUAUAAAUAGAAAAUACAACUAUUUUGAACACCAUAAAUAAGAAUAAAAUAGCACCCGCCAAUGUGGAAGACAAACGAAUUUAAUACAAUCUAUAUUUUAGAAUUGUGCAUCUUUAACUGUGAAAUAAAAUUGAUGUAUGGUAGAGUGAAUUAGAUAUGACUUUUAGAACCAUUUUUGACAAUUGCUUUGAAGACUAGCUGUGAUGAUAAAGCAACAAUUAAUGAAUUAAGUAUUCUUCAAUGUGUUACACGAUAAUAUACAAAAACUUGCGGAAAUACGACAGUGCCCGCUCCUUGAUCGGUCAAUUCAUCCUAUAAUCACAUUUUAUUAUAAAAUAAAUAUCUUAACUAUCAUAUUGGUGGGAUUUUUGUGACACCCAGACGUUUCGUGAUCUCUUCUUUUUGUUAUAUUUUGCCCCACGUAUCCUGUUAGUUUCUCUAGUUAUUGUUUUUCUUCCCCUUAAACUUGUGCAAUUUAUCACGCAACUCUUCGGUUCUCAAUCUCCGGCUCUUGAAUUUAUAAAUAAACAAAUGGAUUGGUUAAAAUAAAUAAAAUAAUACAAAACAAAAAUCAGGCAUGACAAUGAUGCGUGCUGUUGUUAAACGAAUGGGAGAAGAAAAGGAGAUUAAUGACGAAAGUAGACUAAAUAUUUUAUGGACCUGAGGCAUGAUGAUGGGUUAGGUGAGUUAAAAAGAUUAAAAAAAUGAACUAAGUGGAUGAAAAAGAAGAGAAAAUUGUACAAGAAAGAAAAAAGUUAACCAAAUAAUUCAAGAAGAGAGUAGUAAGAAUUGUCACGGAUGACCUUACAUAGUUUUGUCUAAAUAAUUCACAACUUUUGUGUCAUUCUGAGUCAUUAUAGCACACGUCACAUACCAACAAAGUGUUGGCUCCACUGGCAAUGGAGUCCUCUUAAGUGGCUUGAUUGGGUUUGCUCCCCAGUUCGAGUCGCAGGAAAGUCGCCUUUGUUGGGAGAACCUGUGCCUCCCGGUUCGAGCGGGGAUUUCUAGUCUGGGUUGUGGUACGAGCUUAAAGGUACCUCCCACAGUUGGGGCCCUCCCCAGGAUACCUCGAUUAAUAUCAAAAAAAAAAAUAGCACACGUCACAUGCCUGCGUAAUUACUUAUCCUCUAAUAGGAAAAGUUACUCAAUUUUUUGCAUUUAAAAAUGCAUAAAUAUAUAACCGAAGUUUUGUUAUUAAUUUUAUUAUUAUUGUUGUUUGUUUAAUAUUUUGAUGAAAUCACUUAUAUCCAAAAGUUUGUUACUAAAGUCCUGUUAUUUUCUCUUAGAAAAAAGUUAUAUUAUCUUCGCUUAAAAAAUGAAUACGUAUAUUUAGACAUCAAGAGAAAACUAUUCUCUGAUCUAUCUUUGUAUACGCUUUAAUAUGUGUGGUGUUUCAUGCGAGUACACAUUUAUUGUGGCGAUAAAUCCAUCGCCACUACCUUUUAGAUAUUUUCUUGAUCAUCAUUAAAUAAUAUGAUGAUUUUUUUUUUUUUUAGUUACUUCAUAAGGAAGUGUGCUUGACAUUUUCUCUAUAGAAAAUAUGAGGUUGGAUUCUUGCAAAGGUCAAAGAUAAUAAAUGUCUUGAUUAUCAUAUGGGAGAAUGCAUGUGUUUUAUUUUAUUUUUUAUUUUUUACCACGAGGUAUUUUGGGGAGGGCCUCAACUAUGGGAGGCACCUUUAAGUCCGUACUAUAACCCAGACUAGAAGUCCCCGUUCGAACCGAGAGGCGCAGGUUCUUCCAACAAAGGCGGCUUCCCUGCGACUCGAACUGGGGAGUAAACCCAGUCAAGUCACUUAAGGAGACUUCAUUGCCAGUGGAGCCAACACUUUGUUGGUAGAAUACAUGUGUUUUAUGAUGAUAAAUGUUAUAUUUUUUACUUAUAUCUUUACUAAAAUUUUAAUUGCCUAUUUCAUCCUUCUGGUUAAGAAAUAGCAUAUAGAGGUCGGGUUCUUGCAUUCUCUCUUAUUAAUUAUAUUGGUGGGAUGCCAAUAAUGCAUUUUUGACACCCAGACGAUUCAUGAUCUAUCACUAUCACUACAUUUUUCCAAGUCCAUUCACGUACGAACUUAUAUGUGUAUAGCAUUAUUAACAGUCUCAAAGAGUACUUCAUUUCUUUAGUAUUAUUAUAAUUAGGUUUAUACGUUUAGUCUCACUAUCUCAGAGAGCUUACUGGUCAAUUCAAUUCAAACAUAACGUUAACAACUUUUAUUGGUGAUCAACGGCAAUGAGUAAUUUCAUCAUGAGUUAUGACAAAUUUAAUGUUUCUUCACUAAAACGUCCAAACUUAAGGAUCUAAAUAAUAAAAACUCAAAUACUAUAGUUAAAUGCUUUUAUUAAACAGUAUUCUACCUGAACAGCUAAUCUAUUAUUAGUAAUUUUUUCUUCUUUUUUUUUAGCACUGAUAUUUAAACAGAAUAAUUAAUUAUAAAAAAGACAAAAAAUGAGUAUAAAAUAAUAUGACUUAAAAAAUAAAAUAAUUAAGUAAUUUACUAUAACACCAGACAGAUAUUAUAGUUUAUUCUAUCAUCACUAUGUUAUAUCCUACAGUUUAUUUAGUUGCGUGCAUAUGCAUUACCUAAUUAGUUGUUUCUUUUCGACAUAUAAAAUUUCUUAUGCUUGUCUUAUGUUCCCAAUCUCUGCAGCUUUUAGAGUCCCUUUAAUUUCCUUUCCCAAAAAAUAUAAGGACUCUCUCGAAUCUAUAAACAAACUUAAUGAAAUUAGGGCUAAUGUUAAGUUACAUACAUGUAAUUUAUAAUUCUCUCACAUAAAUAGUAAGUGAGUCUACAUCACUCAUUAUUUAUGUGAGAGAGUUGUAAGUUAUAUGCAUGUAACAUAAGGGGAUCCAAUGGAUUAAUUAAAUAAAACCACAAAAAAAGGGGAGGGGGCUUGACAUGAUGUUAUUGUUAAACAAAUUAAUGAGAGAGGAAAAGGACAUUAAUGACAAAAGAAGACUAAAUAAUAGAAGGACCUGAGACAUGCUGAUAAGAUAGGCGAUUUAAAAAGAUAAAAAAAAAAAAAAAAAAAAAAAAAAAAGGACCUCAGCAGAUGAAAAGGAAGAGAAAAUGUGUGAAAAUGAAAAAAAGUUAAGAAGAUAAUUCGAGAGAAGAAUUGUCAGUUUGUUAAUGAUAAUUACGUUACGUGGUGAUAGUUUAAAUAAUUCACGACUUUUGCCUCAUUUGGGACGUCAUAGCUCACGUCCUAAUCCUAUGCAUGCACAAUUGCUUAUUUGCUUAUGAGAUAAUAGAAAGAGUUACUUAAUUGCUUACAUUUAUAAAUGUAUAAAUAUCCAAAGAGUUCUCCUUAAAUUUUAUUAUAAUUUUUAUUAUAUUUUGAAGAAUACAUCGUUAGCUACAUCCAAAAGUUUGUUCUUAAGUUUUGCUAUUCUCUCUUUGAAAUAAGAUUUUAUUAUCUUCACUCUCAAAAUGAUCUAUCUAAUUAACAGGAUAAUAUUGGGUUGUUGGCUGUCACAACAUUCUAGAACCAACAAUUUAUUUCUUAAUCAAGCCAAUCUAAUCAUAAAAAGACAUUUAAUAAAAAGUUGUGGUAUGCGAUCAUUCAACUUAUUUUAUCAACCCUCGUUUUUCAAUUAACUUCAUAAAAAAUUUUAAAAACCGACUGAAUUAAAAUUGAUUAGUUUUUCUUUUCCAAUUGGAUUCAAGAAUCUAUACAAAUUUAGUACUAAUUUAUAGCAUAAUUUAUGACGGUAGAAACCGUCCUUUAAUUACCGAAAAAAUAUCUAUGAUACAACUAUGGCGUUUCCCAUUUUCAAUACCAUCAUUAUCAUCGUCAUUCGUAUGAUAUGUGAUAUAAAAUCAGAAUGAUUUUUUUUUUUUUUUUUUUUUUGGAACUAAAGUUUUCUUCUUCUUUUAUUUUUCUAAAAUGAAGGACUGUUGUUUUCUUGAUUCAUAUGCGUUGUCCGGGUUGGGCCGCUAGGGAUUAAUAGCAACUCAAACAGAUUGAAAGGUCUCCCACCUAAUGAAGAAAGAAAAAGCAAAAAGUAAAGUAAGACAAAGAACGAAAAGAAAGGGAAAGGGUGAGUCGAUUUUGAUGGCCGUUAAUAAUUAAAUAUGUUUCUUCAUUGGUUUAUCCUUUUCCGUAAUUUCACACAAGGACAAAAUGGGAAGUAAGGUAAAAGUAAUCCGCAAUUAUGGAUAUUUAUGCGAAGAGGAUAUAUUGGUAAAUUGCCUAGCGAAUUUCAGCAGUGUUGGAUGCGGAUGAUCCAAAAAUGUAAUGUUCGAGUGGUAUUGACUAAUGAGGUGAUGGAGAUCAAGGGCAUCGAUUAUGGCAAUGUUUUCCAAGACACGAUGAGUUUGUGAAUCUCUCUCUCAGAGGAGAAACAAAAAAAAACAUACAGAAGCUUACAAUAUAUGAUUCAUUGGCAGACGGCCUAAUACUUUGAAGAGGAGCAACAAGCAAAAGCUGAAGUUUUAACGAAAAAAACAAAAUUAUACAAAUGUACGUACGUACGUAGGUACGUAUGUAUAUAUAUAUAUAUAUGUGUAUAUUGAAUUCCACCCAUCAAUUGAGGAGUAUUCUCAAUUCUGUGGUGUCGUUUGGAGGCUGACCAAUGAGUAGUAAGCUCCCGCGGGUCCUUUUGCUAACAAAGAUUGAUGGCACCCCUCUUCCACCACGCGCCCUUGCUCCAACACUGCAAUUAUAUCACAAUUUUGAAUGGUACUCAGCCUGUGUGCUACCACCACGCUUGUUCGCUCCACCAUCAGACGCUCAAGUGCUUCCUGCACCACUUUCUCCGACUGACUAUCAAGUGCGCUGGUCGCCUCAUCUAACAAUAACACUGCAGGAUUUUUUAAUAUGGCACGAGCUAUUGCAAUGCGUUGCUUUUGGCCUCCAGACAGCUGCAAUCCCCUGUCUCCACACCACGUGUCGUAACCUUCAUACAAUCCAGCUAUAAAAUCAUGUGCAUUGGCUGCCUUUGCGGCUUCAAUGAUCUCUGAUUCGUCGAUUUUAUCAGAUGCUCCGUAUGUGAUGUUUUCUCUGAUGGUACCCGCAAACAGAGCAGGCUCUUGACUAACAAGUGCAAUAUGUCUCCUCAGCGACCUCAGGUGGUGUGAUCUGAUGUCUCGACCAUCAAUUUUCACAACACCCUUUAGAGGAUCGUAAAACCGUUCAAUUAAGCCAAUGAUCGUUGAUUUUCCUGACCCACUUUGCCCGACCAGUGCUGUUGAUUUUUUUGCUUCAAUGUUGAUUGAGAAGCCUUUGAAAAUCAUCACAUUAGGUCUAGCAGGGUAUGCAAAAUGCACAUCUUCAAGUUCUAUGUGUCCUAUAAUUUUUUCUGGUUGGUAACCGUUAAGGUCAUCAGGGUCAAUUUUAGUAUGCCGGUCUAAUACCGCGAAGACCGAAGCAACAGCAUCUGAACCUUUUGCAAUGUCUGUAGUCAUUGUGCCGGCAUCAGCUAUGACCUUGCCUGUGCUCACUAAAAUCAAGAAGAUUUCAAAAAGGGAUUUUCCAUCAAUGUAUCCUCUGCCGACGAGCCUGCCACCAUACCAAAAGGCUAGUGCCACGACGCAUGACACUAGAGCUCGGGAAAAGGCAAGGCAUAUACCUGCAAUCCAAGAUUGUCGAACACCCUCUCGUCGUGGGGCUUCGUGAGCUUUUUUGAGCAUUUUCUGGAUCCGUUCUUGGGAAGAGAAUGCAUUGAUGGUUCUGAGGUUAGAGACUGCCUCAGCAGCUAGCUUGCUGCUUUCAUCUUGUGCCUUUAUCACCUUCUUUGACAUGCUUUUUAGCAAUACCUCUUUACCGUACAAGCAUACAAUAACGAGAGGCUGGACUGCAAUGAUCACUAACGCCAGCCUCCAUGAAAUGAUUAGGCUCAUGGUGAAGGCUAUGGUUAUAGAAGAGAAAGUUUGUACUAGCAAAGCAACCCGAUCACCCACCAAAGAUCUCACCUGCCAAAAAUCAAAGUACAGUUAAGAAGAGCACUUUAAUGCAUCUUUUAAGAGCAAAAAUGUUUAGUACAUACCACAUUGGCAUCUUUGGCAAGUCGAGAGCAAAUCGCACCACUUGAAUUCUCAUCUUGAUCAAACCACCCAACUUCAAAUGUGAGUAUCUUCGAAAGCAUAUUUUCUCUAAUUCUUUUGGUCAAGUACUCUCCCAUGUAAGCGAAAUAAUACUGCUGACAAACAUUAGUUAACAAAGAAAAUAUCGAUAGCCCAAAGAAACACAAUGAAUAAAAUCUUGUUUUCUCUUUAAUCUCAUCAUGGUCUUUCAAAAAAUAUACUGAUAUCAUAGAGCCCAUUGCAAAUGCAUAAACUGGCUGCACUGCACCAAAUAAUACUGCACUCAGACAGCCCAAGCUUGCUUGUUUCCAUUCUGGUAUAUUCAAAGCUAACAAUCUCCUGAAAGAUGGUGCAGUUAAUUUAUUGUUAUGCUCUUCGCUGUUAUUCUCUUUUCGAUUGUCAUCCUCUGAGUAAGCUCUGCUUGGCGAGAAAGAGUUUCUGGAUCUGCAACUACUCGCGCUGUUUUCGUCAGCCAAGUUUGAUAUAACAGACAAGCUAUGCAAGUUUGCAUUAUUGAGAUUCAUAUUACUUUUCUCUUUAGGAUUUGUAUUUGCUUUUUCGGUCUGAUGAAGAUUUAUAAGUGCAGUGUAGAGACCAUUUUCGUCUUGUAUUAGCUCAUCAUGAGAUCCUGUUUCCAUGACUUGCCCAUUUUGAAUUACAACAAUGACAUCUGCGCUGCGGAUGGUAGAGAGACGAUGGGCUAUGACAAUGGUCGUGCGGCCAACGGCUGCAUUCUCUAGGGCUUCCUGAACAACACGCUCGGAUUCAGAGUCUAGGGCACUGGUUGCUUCAUCUAGCAGAAGGAUUCUGGGUGAUUUGAUUAUUGCUCGCGCUAUAGCAAUUCUUUGCUUCUGUCCCCCUGACAUUUGAACUCCUCUUUCACCAACCUGUUAAUUUUAAAACACAUAUAAAUAUUGUUAAUUGAGUGAGUUCAAUAUAUGGUGUUUGCUUUCGGUCAUUUUGAAUCGCAAGCUGGCCUAGGCCAGAGCAGAACAAAUUACCUGGGUAUCAUAUUGCUGAGGCAACUGACAAAUGAAAUUGUGUGCAUUUGAAGCUUUGGCCGCCUCAAUGAUCUCCUCCAUUGAGGCAUCUUCCUUGCCAAAAAGUAUGUUUUCCUUAAUACUUGUUGCAAAAAGUGCCGGCUCUUGGCUCACCAGACCCAUCUGUGACCUUAGCCAUUUAAGCUGCAAUUUAUCGAUGGGAACUCCAUCAAGCAGGAUUUCUCCCCCAAGAGGGCGGUAAAAUCUUUGUAAUAACGACACUACUGUGGAUUUUCCUGAGCCACUGCCACCAACUAAGGCCACUGUAUUUCCUGCUGGAACUUUGAGGCAAAAGUCUUUGAAGAUUAUGGUUUCGGGCCUUGAUGGGUAGGCAAAUACAACAUUCCUGAAUUCAACUUCACCUACAAAUUUCUCCAGGAUUUCACCUUCCAUGUUUUCUGAAUCUAUAUCGGGGACUCUUUUUAUCACAUCCCUUAUAUGUUCUCCUGCUGACGUUGCUUCUGAAAUGUACUUCAGGUUGGAUAAACCAGCUCCUAAUGCUCUAACAAAAAUAGGAUCGAUAUUAUCAUCAUCAAUCAUUACUAAUGAAUGAUUAAUCUUCUCAAAAUAUCGUAAAAAUCCAAAAAUUUAAAUGCAUGAUAAUAUUAACAUGACCAUGAGCAAUUAAAUUUAGCUGCAACUCGGAAAACAUUGUUCAAACUAUUACUGAUUUGUAAUUCUAGCUACAUCUAACUAACUAUUAUAACUCAAAAUCUAAACAAGAAUUAAUUCUCGUAAUAAGGCGAUGAUACUCACUGGCCACUGACGACAAUGGUGGUUCCGGCAACGAAAACGAACCCUCCUUUAGCCCCAUGGUACAUGACUAGUCUGCCACCAUAAUAAGCUAACAAGGACCAAAUAGCAUAAGUAAUUGCAUUUAUGCCACUGGCAAAACCUUUCCCCAACCCUUGCUUUAAGCCUAACUUGACUGAAUCUUGUAGGGCUGAAGAAAAUUCAUUAAUGGUUUUGCUUUCACCAACAAAGGCAUAUACAGUUCUUACGGAUGAUAUUGCCUGUUCUACAAUCGUAUCAGCCUUAUUGUACUCUUCUCUCAUCUUUCUUGCUAGCACCAUCAAAGUCCUUCCAUAUGUCAACCCAAGGACCACCAGAAGCACAACACAGGGAAGCCCAACAAUAACUAGCUGCCAUAGAAUCAAAAGCCCUACUAGGUAGCAACCAGAGAACGUAGCAAAAUUUACCAACAAGUUUGGAAGCUGUCAGGCACAAAUAUUUCAGACGGUUACUUCAACAGCAAGUAAUCAGAAUAACUUCAACAGCAAGUAAUCAGAAUAACUUACAAUGUACAUCUAGGAAUUAAGAAUAAUAAAAAAGAAAAACCACUUUAAAUAAAUUUGUUGUGAAAUUUAAGCUCAAAUUGAUGAAGUAAUAUCAAAUUACUAAUUAAUUAACCUUUUCACUGAUGACAUCUUGAAUCAUUAGAGUAUCGUUAGAAACGCUUGAGAUGAUCUCUGCUGUGCUUGUGGCACACAAAUCAAAGUAUCCGACUUCUUGCCUCAAGACUGCUUUCAAAUAGAUAGCUCUCAUCCUUGUCGCUUGUCUUUCACCCGUUCUCGUCCAACAGUAUGCCUCUAAAAGUUCCGAAAAUAUAAUAAAACGAAGAUUAUUAAUUUAAUAGAACUUGAACAAAUUUGACUCGACCAAUAAAUUAUAAAACCCACCGAGGAAAGCAGCAAUCCAUCCAAGAGAAGCUACGUACAAGAUUAUCACUGCAUCCUGUCAUCCAGAGAAAUUAAAUAAUUAAUACAUUUUAUUAUAUGCACAUGUAUUGUAGUAUAACGAGUUUAUUUCCCAUGAGAGAAACAUGCAUAAAGAAAAGAAAGUUGAGAGAAUUACGUAGUACAGUUUAUGAGUGAACUCAUCUGUUGUGAGAUUCGAUGCAUUCCCAACAGUAUUCAUCAACCUAGCCAUCACAAGUGUCAACAAAGGUGUUGAGAACCCAUCAGCCAUGGCUCCAAUGAAUCCCAAAACCAUCAGAAACAUAUCCAAACGGUCCGCAUGCAUGAAAAUAGAAAGAAACGACCCAUUGUUGUUAUUUUUCUUGAUCUUAGUAGUAGUACUGCUGCCUUCAUCUCUUUCUCUACUCAUCAUUUCCACAGACACACAAAACAAAUUAAAUUAACAACUUCCAAAAGGUUGAAUGUGAGUACGAGUAUGAGUGUCUGCUCCUUAACUACAAAAUGGGUAGAAUGUCAUGUUAUAAGUAGCAAAAAUUCCACUGUUAUCAUAACUUUUUUUUUAAAUAAUUUCGUGAGGCACAUAAAAAAAAAUUCCUACAAAGAAAGGGGUACUUUAAUUUUGUGGGGGCAAGCGAACAAUGUUCUUAAUUACAAGGAAAGGGACAGACGGGUAGUGAAUUGUGAAAUAGAACGAUGAUACAAUGAGGUAAGGACCGGAUUAUUCUAAUAAGAAGGUAAUUUAAUAGUUUUGUGAUAGGAUUACAAAUUUUUAAUAGAAAACAAACAACUUUUCUGGGGCACAACUGGGUGCCAGCCAUUUAAGAAAACAUCCUUUACAAUUCCACAAUCUGAAAUCUGGUAUUUGAGGGAGAGAGUGU